rnacentral:lncRNA from 1 species
UUUUUUUUUUUUUGUUGUAAAUCAUAUUAGUUGCUGAUCAUGAAACAAUUUCAUGUUUGGUUUAAGAGAAUAGGCUUGAUUCAGUGAGAUUUGGAUUCAUGAGUUAUAGCCAUCUGAGGUAGGCAAGAGUGUUUGCAUUCCUUAGAAAAAAAUUGGGAGCUACAAAACUAUGCUUUAAAUUUGAGUUUUGUGAUUACUAUUUUUGAUCUUUAUCUACUCUAGCUAUACAAUUCUUCCAUGUUUUUCAGAUCAUGGAAUGAGUUUCUCAUGCUGAGAUUGUAACCCAAUCAAUAAGUAAGUGAAACACAGAAGUUCUAUAUCGCAUGUUAGUUGUGAUCAAUUUCUAAAAAUCCGAUGUAGUGGAUUGUUAUCUUAUUGGUUACGCAAAACGAUUAAGGUUUUAUGUUUUUUAGGAUCAUAAACAUACCAUAAGUAGGAAUAAUUACAUAGAACGUGAGGACAAUGGUGUGAAUAAAUAAUUUGUUUUGAAGAAGGAGAGUUAAUUAGUAGUUAAACACACCAAUGUUGUAAACCUACAGACUAGUCAAAUAGACCAAAAGAUGAUGUAGACGAUAUCGAAUAAGAAGAAGAUCAAGAUGGAAUCUCUAUAGAAGGCCCUACAACAGAACAAGAGCCAAAGAGGUCUGAAGGUAAAUAAAGUCAUCUAUAUGAUUCAAUUUUGUGUACUAAUAAAGAGUUAUUUCUAGUUCACAUUUUGGAAGAGGGUUGAAGCUAUAUAAACUAAAUUAGAGUUCAUGAAAAACAAUAAAGCGUGGGACUUAGUGGAACCAAAACAAGGUAUUGGGUCAAUAGGACGUAAGUGAGCGUUUAAGACUAAGAAGGAUUGAAGGGGCCAAAAACCUUGAGAUAUGUAUCUGUAUAUUAAGGAGGUUGAGUUUCGAUGACAAAAUUCUCUUUACAGGGAAAGAAUAUAUGUACUUUUCGGUUCUUGCUUAAUGUAUGAAUUGUUUUGGUUGAUUGUCUUGAAAGUUGAUUCUCUUUUACAGCAAACUGGGAUUUUAAACCAAGAAAUUUGGAGGUUUUAAAGAAGUAGGGCUUAGUAAUGCUUAAGGGAUUAUAGUAAGAGAAAAGGUGAGAAAGCUCAUUACUGUUAGCAAAUUAUGGCUAAAGUAGUUGUGCUAUUAGAAGUUGGACAAAAGAAAUUUUAGAGCCUUGAAGUAUUCAAGAGAUUUGAAAGAGUAGAGAUUAAGUAUAGGCCAUAUGCAAAAGAAAAUGUUGUGUUAUCUCAAGGGUCAAUAUAAAAACACAUACUAGUUUUCAAGAGGAAAGAAAAGUUGGAAACAAAUGGUUUAUUCAGAUUCCAAUUUUGGUAGAUUAUAUACUUCUAAAGUCAAUUUCUAGUUUUGCGUUUGUAUUAGAAUUGGAGGUGCAAUAUUAUAGACAAAUGUUAUGCAAUCAAUAGUUAUUUUUCUGUACUAUGUAUGUAUACUUAAUUCGUGGAUGUUGUGGAGCUCUAACGCAUGCAGGGUAGUUAAAGUUUUCUCCAUACCGGACGCCCUCAAUAUUUGCUAGAAAGAGGAAGAGUGAGGAAAUGAUAUACAAGUGUUGAUUAUAUUCACACUACAGAUAUGACUACAUAUAUAUUAAUAGAGUUAUUCCUCAGUUAGUUUCUUUAAAGCAUGUCACUAGAAUGGGAGAGUUAUCAAGCUUUAAAGAUGCCUAAAAUUAGUGGGAGCUAUUUUGCUUUUCAAUUAAAAAUUCAUGGAUAUGCAUUAAGGAUUGAUGUGUUUUAUUUCUAAAUACUUGUCAUUACAGCAAGCCAAUUUUGAAGAUUGUCUUUUCGACAUAAGGGCUUAUUUUAAGCAUUAAGGAAGAUCAUGUUGUGAUCGUAAAGAGGACCAUAUAUGUGUUUAGUGUGAUACUCACCCUUAAGCCUUAAGCACACUUAUCAUAUAUAUACGUUUGUCCACAACUUGUUGGUACUUUAUGUGAAUGUUGUUGCUUGUAUGUGAUUAUAGAGGUACACAUCCGCCAUAUUGGAUAUCGUAGUCUAUAGUCCUACGAGCUAAUGAUAUUUGACACUAAGUUUGAAUAGAUAUUGCUAUCAAAUAAUCUUCCAAAGUUGCGCGCAUCAAGAAAUUUAUUCAUGAUCCAAAGAGCUUCUUGAAUAGAUGUCACGUCCAAAGAGCUUCCUAAUUGUGAAACAAAUUCGGAGGUAAUUCUUCAUUCCAACUGACAAAGGAAAAAGAAAAUAAAGGAAAAGGCCAUUGCGAAGUGAAAUUCUCAUUCCUACACUAGUUGGUAACAUUAGUAAUAUUUCUCAUUCCUAUACAACUACGGGUUGUGUGAUGAGUUUUUUUUUUUAAUCAAACCUCGACUGUACGAGGGAUAUUUUAUUGAUAACGAAAAAAAGUUAUAUCUAGUCAGGGGUGGACAUAAACCUUACCCCUCAUAAUACCAAGAAAAGGAGAAAAAGAACAUGAAUAAGAAGGGGAGGACAUAAACCUUACCCUCUAGAGGGGGGGGACAUGAAACCUAACCCCUCUAAAGUCAAACCUAAAAGGUCUAAAACUUGCAAAACAAGUCAAACAAUAACACCACAAGGUUAGGAAAAAACAAGAAAUGAAGACAUACCUGCAUGGCGAGAUGCACAUUAGUUUGAGAAGUGGAAGCCAGGCAUGCCUACAUAGUCUGAAAACAAAGCAUCACGAGCGGGCGGGGGAGGGGAGUCAUGCCACACCAAAGUUGGAGAAAACAAGUCCAUGUUAGCAAAUUUAUUUGCAACAACAUUUCCUUCACGAUAUAUGUGAGAGGCGUAAAAGGCCAUAUUUCGAAUGUGGUCCAGACAAAUAGACAAUUGUGUACGAAGAGGCCAAGGAGGAUCAAAAUCGGUUGAUUGGAUAGCAGAAGAGUCACAUUCCAACCAAAGGCAAUGCUAACCCAGCUGAUAUGCAAACUUGACACAAUAAUAGUUGCUGAUAAUUUUGCAAAAAAUGAGUUGCAAUGACCAAUCCAUUGACAAAAACCACCAAGAAACUAACCAUGGCAAUCCCUAAAAACUCCUCCACAUAAAAUUAUAAAUGAAGUGUGAUGAGAAUAUAAGAAUCUAAUUAAGGUGAAUGGUGAGUUACAUUUUGGAUUUGUAUAACCAUCAAUGUUUCUAUGCUGAUUUCAUUAUUAUGUGAUUUUCAGUUAAAGACUAAUUUUGUUUUCCUAUCAUGUUCACUUAGAGGUGUUAUGCUAGAGUUGGAAGGCACUAUAGUGGUAGAAUUGCAAUCCGCUUGACAUGGAAAGGUAGUCUCCAUGCAACCACUCUAACCAAAUACUUUACUAAUGCUUUUCAACUAUUACAAUAAUAUUUGUGAUAUAUUUUUUUACGUCUUUUAGAUUUGUUUACCUUACGAAUGCAACGAUUAAGGUGUUACAAAUUUCGAGGACGAAAUUUAUUUGAAGGAGGGUAAAUUGUAAUACCCCGUAUUAAAAAAAAUAUAUAUGUAUAUGUGUGUGUGUGUGUGUGUGUGUGUCUAAGUAAUUAUUUUUAUUUCAAAUGUAAUAACUGUAUUGGAUUUCUUUAUAUACGUUAUGAGUACAAAAAAAACCCUCGUAUUUUUGGCAUGUAAGUUAGUAGGAAUUCUUUCACUACAAGAUUAAAUUAAAGCGUGGCUAGUACUUUUAAGGCCCCGCGUGACGAGUUUUGCCCGACUAUGCUUUUCUGACGAACCUAUGUCGGGUAAAGUUUCCAGCGAUGAGUCCUCCUUUUAGCCAACAAAGAUUUUCCCUCUGGCAAAGUGGUUUUUUUAUUUUUUAUUUUUUAUGUGUGUGUGUGUAGUGUGUACUGGAGAUAUGCAUGUAGCUGCUUGAAUUUAGUUGAUUGUUGUUAUCAUUCAUUAUUGUGUUUACACCUCUUGAGAAAAAUAAUUUAUGCAGGAUUUUUGCCCAAACGAUGUCUGAAUUUGCAUCACAUGUCAAGAGACAUGCUAGUUUGAUCAAAAUAGGGACUAGUAGUGGGGCCCACUUCACAUCGAACAUCACCGAUCGGAACCGUUUAUUUUUCAAGUUGCAUUUUAUAGAUUGUCCUUGCAAAAUAUUAGCCAAAUCGAAGAUGUUCGAGGCAUCUAGUUGAGUUCAAAGAAAUUGAAGAACACUAUGUUCCUUUUACACUAUUGGUACCUUCUACAACUCCAUAAAAAUCUGUUUGAAGCUACAAUAAAAAGAGAAAUUAUUGUUCGGCUUAACGAUUCACUGCCUUCGUCAGAACCCAAGAAUCACUUGUAAGCUACGGUUUGUAUUUUAAUUGUUUUAAUCAACACAACAGUUUGUACGGUUUGUGUUGUUGUCUUAAUCAUAAGCUAUAUGGUGUGGAAAAUGUGUGUAGCUCUCAUAAUCAACACACUAGUUGAUACUUGUGUAGCUUGUUGCUACAGUUGGUAUGUUUAGGUUAGAUAGUUUUCAUUGUUUUAGCAAGAAUAGAUUAUUUUGCAAUGCACACACUGUGUUUGUUGAAAGCCUAUGUGGUAAAUUUGCAUUUGGUGGUUUUGUUUUUUAUUAAGGUACGGCCAAUUAGGUUCAAUCGAUUCGGUACAGUCAGUUAGGUACGUAGGAUGUGAAGCACAGAUGGAAACAUUGUAAGUAGAAUAGGAUGUGAUGUGAAGGUGGGGGAUGAAAUCUCAUUGCAAAAUAAUGUAAUGUGCAUCGUAGCUAGGUAGGGAUUGAGGAUAUGGCCUAAAAUAUUUGCUGGCUGUGAAGUGCCAUCAUUUUUUUUAAUUUUUAUAUGGUCAUUUAGGUCUGGUCGAUUCGGUAUGAUCAGUUAGGUACGUUACUUAGGAUAGGUUCAAUCAUUUCGGUACAGUCAAUAAGGUACGGAAAACUUAUGUUUGAUUCCAAACAACACCUGAUGACUUAUAUUUGAUUCUGAACAACACCAGAUUAACCAUUGCUGCAAUUGAAAAGCUUAUAUAUGUUUGCUCAGUUCUCUGAGCUUGACAAUGAUUUUUACAACAAUGGGUUGCCUUCAAAUCCAACACCAAUCAACAAUCCUAGAUUGGAUUAAGGGUUCAAAAGCGUGGAAAUUGCCAGUCAAUAUCACAACAACUGUAGGUGUAGUUGACGAUGAGUAAUAAAACUAAAAUCACCAAAAAAAACAUAGUUCUAUCGAUUUCAGGUUCAGUAUAUAGAAAAGAAGCGUGAACAUCAUCAUCAGCAGAGAAGGAGGAAAAAACUUCAUUGCCUCCAAAGAUGGGGGAUGCCAUUGUAACCGAAAGAGGAGAGAUGUGAAGAAUCAAUACAUACAAAACAUUAAAACAUUGAUUUGUACCCAAGGGUAACUAGGGAAACUAAAACUACAAUAAUUCUAUAAAAAAUUUGAUUAAAUAUGACAUGGAAUACUAGAAUCUGACGUGGAGGACUAUUUUUAAUUUUUAAUCUUCCAUACGGUAUUACUGAAAAAAUAAACUUAUUUAGGGAUUAAAAUGAAUUCUAAAUAAGUAUAUACUGUUCUCUUGUUAAGACCAUUUAAUAUGUUAUCCUAUUAAAUCGUUAACAAGAAUAUUUAGACAUGACCAUACACCAUCUAUAUAUAAAACAAGAAUGUUCCAAGUGAUGAUUUGGAUCUUCCUCUUACACGUAAACGAGUACUUAAUUAAGUUUUAGAAUAAUUAAUACAUGUUACCAUCUCAAGCCAAAAAUCAAUAAGAAAUAACGGGUGCGAAGUAGCAAAGGUUUCUGAAUUUUACCCCAUGUUUAAUCUUCGUCCCUAAACUCUAUUAAUUUUUCUCAUCUUCCAACUUAACUAUGUUUUAUAUGAGUAGUCCUUUUCGUCAAAUUUAAAGGUAUAAUGGUAUUUUCAUACAACAACAAAAUCUAAAUUAUUUAAAAAGAGAAUAGCUUGGCUCCUUAAGGUUAAGGAGGAGUUCCUCCUCAAAAGACUUCGUGGCCUAUUCACAAAAUUUCAUGCUUAUGAUCGGAACCGUUCAUAUUAUAGAUCACUAUGUAAAGAUCAUCUCUGCAAAAAAUAAAUUAAAACUAAAAUCGUUUAGUCAAUCCUUAAGGAGUUUUGAUCAGAAGCUCGAAGUUCUGUAAAUAGAUCACAAGUUAUUUUAAUGAGAAGUUCCUCCUCAAUCCUUGAGAAGCCAAGUCUUGUCUUUCUCUCUCUUUUUGUUUUUGUUUUUUUUUUUUUAACAAACAAUACUAUCUACAUUAAGGGAGAGUAAGCCUCACAAUGGACUAGCAAUAAUGUGGCUCAAAUUCGCCUUUUGUGAGAAUCGAACCUAAGACCUCUCAUUUACAAGUGAAGAUAAAUACCACUUAGACUGUAGUACUAAGUGACAAGUCUUUCCCUUUAAAAACUUCAUUUUUUUUUUUGGAUGAAACUCCUUUUUUUUUAUAAUGAAAUUCCUAUUUUAUCUCUUAACUUAAUGGAAAAGUUGACAGAGUUAACGAAAAAGACUACGCAUGUGACCCUUUAACACAGUGGUGGAAAAGAGUUGAGCCCUUGCAUGAUGAAGUGGGUUCGAACUCCGUUGGUGGCUAAUCUAAUAUCUAAUCUAAUAAAAAUCUAUUGUUUGACAAGAAAAAAAAAACGAAAAUGACUACUAGUGCAUCAAAUGACAUAAUUGGAGGACGAGGGAAACUAUUAGCAGAGUUCAGGGACGGAAACUAAACAUGUGAUAUAGCUCAAUGACCAUUGCUACAAUUUAGUCAGUAACAAUUAUUAUAUUUUUUUAAGAAGAAACAACUUGUUUAGGGAUAACUAUAAGGGAAAUUUUAUUUGAACCCAUAUUUUGUAUCUCAACACCCAUCUUACUUUCUAUACCCACAUUGUAUUUGAUUUAUCUAUCAUUAUCUCUUUACACCCAACAUUAUUUUCGAAACCGCCCUUACUUAUCAAAACUCAACUCAAUCAAACUUUGUUUUACACCCAACUCAAUCUACUUAAAAAUAAAAAAUAAAACCCUAACUAGUCCAUCAUCUCCAUGGAGCAAAGUCCCUUCUCUCUCUAAAAAAUCCUUCCAUCUCCUAUAAGUGUCAUUCUGCACCCCAUCUACUCUUGCGUAGUCAUCCAAACCUCUUCCUCUUGCUUUUCUUAAUCAUUUGACAUCUCUAAAUUUCUAGAGCACUAAUUAGCUUAAUAAUUGGUAUGUGUUCAAUCGAUUGGUUCAAUUUUUACGUAUUAAUUCCUUUUUCUUUUCAAUUAAAUGAGCUUCUGGUUAGAGUGUUUAAUGAGUUGGUAUGUUUUACUUAAUUGAGAAUCUUCUAGACUCUAUAUUCCUAUCUAUGGUAGAUAAAUGGGUACGUCCAUGAUAACUUUUGGUAGAUCAAUGAAUAUUUUUAACCGUGGAUAUAUAUAUAUAUAUUUUGUCGAAACCGUGAAUAUUUAUUAGAUACAAAAGUUGCGGACAACAAUUCACAUUACAUUGAACUGUGGCUAAAAAGUAUAUCGCCUUUGCACGUUUUAAGGGCGAACUCAUAGCUAAGCAGUUUUUAUUAAGGAGCAAAACUUCGGGAAUUGAUCUAACCUGGGUGUGUAAUUGAGUUUAUGCAUUUUGAUGAUUAAACUGAUAAAUAUUUCAACCACAUAUGGAUUUAAUAUCAUAGUAUCUUUUAGCUUCUAUAUGCCACAAAAGUUGCGGACAAAAAUUCACAAUACAUAGAAUUGUGGUAAAAAAGUAUAUCGCCUUUGCACGUUUUUUAGGUGAACUCAUAGGUAAGCAGUUUUUAUUGUUGACCAAAACUUCGGGAAUUAAUCUAACUUGAAUGUAUAAUUGAGCUUAUGAAUUUUAAUGAUUAAAUUCAUAAAUAUCUCGACCACAUAUUGUGAUAGCCCGUCCCGAACUAUUAUCAAUUAUGGCAUGAAAAGACUAUUUUACCCUUGGUCGUUAAUUUUGUUGUGUGGUGGUGUGGUUUAAGUUUAAGUUUUAGGACUUAAGUCUUUAUUUGUUGUGGUUGGUAGCCCAAAUUAGGACCACACACACACACACCCAAAGCAACCCCGUUGACCCUUCUCUCUCUCCUCUCUCGGUUUUCUUCCUUCGUCCGUACGAUUUGUACGGUCAACUCCAAACCAACUUAUUUCUUCACAGAUCGAGCUCAUAGUUAGCACUAUCAUCUUCAUCUCAUCGUCACGAGUCCAUCCAUACCUGUUUCAGAACUUGAAACCGUCGAAAACCCAAGACCCAAAAGACCCAAUCUUGAGCAUUGUUCAUGCACACGUAAAUGUGGUGUUUUUAGAAGAUUUUAAGGUUAUAGGAAGCUUUAAAACACUCUCACGAAGCUCGGAGAAGAAAGUUGAGGGUUUUUGGACGUCGGGAAGCUCGAGUUGUAGAGUUGGCCGGUUUUCUUAAAUUUCUCCGGCGAGAUCCCGUUGGUUUUAGGUUCCAAAAGAGGUAAGAAUGUGUUCUACUCAUCAUAAGCUUCAUUUUGGUAUAAAUUUCAUGAAUUUUGGUUGAGAAAUGGAAGAGAUAUGAAGAUUUGAAAAUUUUCCAGUUUCCGGCGAGUUGUAGAAGGCGGUCUCCGACGAGGUCCAUCGGAGAAGAAGGGAGAAUAUUCCGUCAAAGUUGACGGAAUAUUCCUAACGGCGACUGACGGCGUCAGGUUAGUUUUAACGGAAUAUGCUAUUAUUUUGACUGAAUAUUCCUUAACGGCAAUUAGGAUUCCAUCAGGGUUGGCCGAGCGUGGGGGCGCGUAGGGCCGUGCCCUUGCCAGCGCGUGGGGCAUCAAAAAAAAUUUCUAAAAAUAUUGGGAUGUUCCUGAGGUUGAGUAGAUCACGGUGGUAUAUUCAUAUACCCAAUUUGAGCAAUAUAUGAGAAGUUAUUACUUAGUUUUGUGUAUGUGCUUUAAAUGACGAUUAUAUAGUUGUUUCGCAUAUAAGUGAGACCUAUCCAGAGGACGAGCAUAAUCAAUCAAGGCUCGAGGGCUACGACCCUUCGACCUACCAAUGAGUGGGCUUUUGGUUUUCAGUAUAUAUAUAUAUAUAUAUAUAUACACACUUGAUGUUUUUCCCAGAAAACGUAUUAAAAUGAAAUGUGUUUGAAAUGUCAUGUCAUACUUUCAUUGUACUUUAGUAUAUGCAUUAGUAUAAAUAUGCAUAAUGUUGCAUGAUGCUGCGGAGGCCCAGGUAAGCCACAGGUGAGUACAUUAUGAUGUUAGUGAUUGUGAAUGGAAUGAUGAUGUUGAGAUAUAUUUGAGUUCAUAAACCUGCACCCCAGUGUUAGUGCUCCCGCCAUGGUUAGGGCACAUUCCUUCACCACUAUAGGUGGUUCCGACUCGUAGGUGACCCGCGAUUUAUCGCACAGUCUUCACGUGAUCGUAGCACUAGAGCGUAUUUAUUUACACCCAGUCCUGUCGUACAGACCACUAGAGGUGGUUCCGACUCGUGUGCAGGUAUACUUGUUGAGAUACAUGAUUAAGUUAUAGAUUGAGCCGUACAGGUCACAUGAGGUGACUCCAACUAGAUAGAUGAGCUCUAGAUUUCGCCGUACAGGUCACGUGAGGUGACUCCGGCUAGAUUGGUUAUUUGCAUUAGUAUUCACACCUGGCUUACUUAUGUUAUAUUGUGAUUUUGGACAUGGCAUAUCCAUAGCAUGCACAUAAGUGGAUUUUGAUAUACUGAGCAUGGUUUUUGAGAUACGUAUGUAUUCUAUUUUCUGGGAAAUUAUACAGGUUUUACGGCGAGGGGUUAGAACUUUUGAGAAUGAAAUGAUUUUGAAAAGCUUUGUUUUUGCCCACUCACGCUUUCUGUUUUUCGUCCCUCCAGGUUCUAGGUAGGAAAUCCUCGUUGGUGGCAUUGCGAGGGUUUCAAGAUAGUUCUGACAGACUACCAAAUGUAGGAUCACCUUCGGGUGUUGUUUAAUUAGUACUUUAUCCUACUUGACUGCAAUUAGGCUACUUAUGCUCUCGUUGUGUAUUUCACACUUAAUAUCGCUCUAGUACUGCUAGUAACUUGGUUUAAUUAUUCCUAAUUCUCUAUAUCAUUAUUGCUUCCGCACGGUGCACAUGGUUACGUCACCCUCACGUGACGGCCAUCAUGCCUAGAUUUCGGUCGGGGUGUAUCACAUAUGAAGUUAAUAUUGUAGUAUCUUUUAGCCUCUAUAUUGGUAUCUGUGGCAAAAAAAUGGGUAUCUCCAUGAGAAAAUUUUGUAGAUCGAUGAAUAUUUUCAAUUUGAAUAUUUAUUAGAUACCAAAAAUUAUAAGUCUAUUCGCAAAAGUGUAAGUCAAUGCCAAGUACAAUAUUUGUUAAGAUAUAUUUAGGGAACUGUUAGUAGCACUCCAAAAAUCUUAUUCUACACUUUGCACAAGUGUAUUUUUCUUUCUAAUUAUAGAAAGUUUGGAGUGCCAAAUGAGAUUUUUGGAGUGCUAAUAACAAUUUUCUAUAUUUAUAUACAUUUUAUUUUAGUUUGGAAGUCGACUUCCUUUUUUUUUUUCCUUUAUCAAGUUGGGAGUAUCAAUGACUGUGACCAUGUGCAACUAGUUGUUGAUUCGUUUUGAAUAAUCAACAUUAUUUCUUACAAUGUCUUGGGCUUAUAAAUAACAGAAGGAAAACCGUCAUGCAUGAAACAUACACAUUUGUCCCUUCAUGCGACAUGGUUAUAAGCAAACAUCAUGCAUUUACUAAUACUAUUCCAAGUCAUGCAUGAAACCUAUACAUUGUCCCUUCAUGCCACUUGGCUAUAAGCAAACAUCAUGCACAAGUAGUUUACUAAUUAGUAUUACUAAUAUUAGCUUGUAUCAUGACCGUUUUCUUUUUGUUAUUCAUAUGCCCAAGACAUUGUAAGAAAUAAUGUUGAUUAUUCAAGACAAAUCAACAACUAGUUGCACAGGGUCAUAGUCAGUGAUACUCCCAACUUGAUAAAGAAAGAAAAAAAAAAGGAAGUCGACUUCCAAACUAAAAUAAAAUGUAUAUAAAUAUAGAAAAUUGUUAUUAGCACUCCAAAAAUCUCAUUUGGCACUCCAAACUUUCUAUAAUUAGAAAGGAAAAUGCACUUGUGCGGAGUGUAGAAUGAGAUUUUUGGAAUGCUAAUAACAGUUCCCUAAAUAUGUCUUAACAAAUAUUGUAUGUGGCAUUGACUUAGACUUUCGUGAAUUGACUUAUAAUUUCUGGUAUCUAAUAAAUAUCCAGAUUGAAAAUAUUCAUAGAUCUACAAAAUUUUCUCAUGGAGGUACCCAUUUUUUUGCCACAGAUACCAAUAUAAAGGCUAAAAGACAAUACGAUAUUAAAUUCAUAUGUGGUCGAGAUAUUUAUGAAUUUAAUCAUUAAAAUGCAUAAGCUCAAUUAUACAUUCAAGUUAGAUCAAUUCCCGAAGUUUUGGUCAACAAUAAAACUACUUACCUAUGAGUUCAUCUAUAAAACGUGCAAAGGCGAUAAACUUUUUAACCACAGUUCUAUGUACUGUGAAUUUUUGCCCGCAACUUUUGUGGCAUAUAGAGACUAAAAGAUAGUACGAUAUUAAAUCCAUAUAUGGUCGAAAUAUGUAUCAGUUCAAUCAUUAAAAUGCAUAAACACAAUUACACAUUCAGGUUAGAUCAAUUCCCGAAGUUUUGCUCCACAAUAAAAACUGCUUAGCUAUGAGUUCGCCUAUAAAACGUGCAAACGUGAUAUACUUUUUAGCCACAGUUCAAUGUAAUGUGAAUUGUUGUUCGCAACUUUUGUAUCUAAUAAAUAUCCACGGUUAAAAAUAUUCAUUGAUCUACCAAAAGUUAUCAUGGACAUACCCAUUUUUCUACCACAUAUAGGAAUAUAGAGGCUGGAAGAUUCUCAUUUAAUUGAAACAUACCAAACUCAUACCAAACUCAUCUAAUUAGUGCUCUAGAAAUUUAGAGAUGUCAAAUGAUGAAGAAAAGGAAGAGGAAGAGAUUUGGAUGACUACGGAGGAGUAGAUGGGGGUGCAGAAUGACAACCAUGGGAGAUGGAAGGAUUUUUUUUAAAGAGAGAGAGAAGGGGAUUUGUUCCAUGGAGAUGAUGAACUAGUUAGCGUUUUAUUUUUUAUUUUUAAGUAGAUUGAGUUGGGUGUAAAAAGAAGUUUGAUUGAGUUGAGUUUUGAUAAGUAAGGGCGGUUUCGAAAAUAAUGUUGGGUGUAAAUAGAUAAUCAUAGAUAAAUCAAAUACAAUGUGGAUAUAAAAAGUAAGCUGGGUGUUGAGAUACAAAAUAUGGGUUCAAAUAAAAUUUCCCUAACUAUAAUGGGGCGCCAGGUUUAAUUCACAUGUUUUAUUUCCCUAAAAGCAGAUCACAAAAAGCACUCUAAUUAAAAAUUUCACAUGAAUUGCCACUUAGUACUACGGUUUAGUAGUAUUUUUCUUCACUUGUAAGUGAGAGGUCUUAGGUUCGAUUCUCGCCAAAGGCAAAUUCGAACCAUAUUAUUGCUAGCCCAUUAUGAGGCUUAGCCCACUCCCCCACCCCCUUAGUGUAGAUAAUAUCGUUAGUUAAAAAAAAUCACAUGAAUUAAAAUUAAAUCCCCAUUGACACCAAUUUCAUGAAAUUGGAUUAAAAAGACCAACACGGAAGACAUUAAAACAAUGAAUUAAAAUUUAAAAUUAAGGAUCCCCCCACUCACAAGUUUUUUAGUUAGUACUCUUUAUCACUAAUGUGACAUUAAUUUUCACUCUACAAGUAUCGUAAUCAAAAUUAUUCACUCACUUAUCAUCUUUCAAUAAAAAAGUUCAAAUGAUUUGGAGACUGUUUAGUUUGUCAUGAAUCAAAGAUAUGAGAGUUCAUCAUGGUGAUGCUACUUAUUAGCGUAAUCGUUGAUUUGUUUGACUAGGAUAACUAAAUAGUCUCUAAAUCAAAUAAAUAUUUCCAGAGAUGAUCUUUUGAUGAUCAUAAAGAAAAUGAAUAGCUAUAAUAAUGACGUUGGUAAACUAAAAUGAUGUCACAUUUUGAAAUUAAUGAGGACUUUCUUCUUUACUAAGAAUGAGGGAAGUAAAUAUUAUCCUUUCUUUUGGUCGUAAGGGAAGUAUCCUUGAAACUAAGGAAUCAAAUUGGGAAAAUUAAGGACCAGAACUGAAAACAAACAAAAUAUAGUGAUAAAAAGUAGGAUCCAACAUCUUUUAUCGAAUAAUAAUAGUAGUUCACUAAUGACCAUAGGAACCACCAACGACCACUAUAUUAUUUUAUGACAUGAAUUUUCUAAAUUCACACGAUGGGGGAAGAAUAGAAUCAGUUGUUGCAAUUGUCUACAAUAUUAAAUAAGAACAACAAAAUAAAAUGAUGUAUUUGUUUAGCUUGGUUGGUUAGCCAGCCAGCAGGCUUAGUGCGCAUACAAAUUUCAAGUAUUUUUUAUUUAUCAACAAGUGUAAGGCUGAUAUCUCUAAUCUAAAACUCAAGAGUUAAAAAUUAUAAAGCUACAUUUAAUUUCACAUGCCGUGGUGUAAGUUAUAUUAUUUCCAAUGCAUACGGAGUUAUUCAAUGUUAAAAAUAUUCUCUUUUUCUCCCCGACCAUCUCUCUUAAAAUCAAAACCUAGAUCUACAAGUUUUAAGCUUAAUACUCGUUAUUUUGACACUUUUUCAAUAAAAUAUAUAUAAUUCACUUUUCCUAUACGUAUUUUUCACAUAUUAUCCAGGAAAUAAAAUACUAAAAUAAAAAAAUGACCGAAUUUGUAAAAGUUUAGCAAACUUGUCGAAUAAUACACAUAUGUAUGUUUCACGUACUAUACUCGUACCUUAUUUAUAUUUGUAUUUAAAACAAAAACGCCAAUAAUUAACUCAAUAUAUUGAAAGACCUAAUUCACAAACAUCGUUUUAUUUUCCACUAAUUUGUCUUGCUUUGUUAGUGCUUAAUAACGUACUUAUUCAUCAAAGCAAGCAAGGAAGUAAUCGCUUAAGUAACUUAGCAUAAAGAUUUGCUUUCGAAAAGCCCACAACCAGUAACAAAGUUGGAAUUUUCCCCCACCGCAAGUUGUGUAAACUCAUGUGUUGCAAAUUAACCUACUGCAUGGAAGAUUUACUCCAGCAAUUGACAAUUUUUCCCCCUCACGUACGUGAUUGAUUACUAUUUCUUAUAAUAAAUGCAAUGCAUGACCACAUAUUUUUGACAAUCUUCGUGCACAAUAAAAAAAAAAAUUCUUGACAUUUACUAUGGAGUGGUAGUAUUCCCAAAUGGCCAUUUGGUCAAGUAAAAUUCAAUCUUCAUUUGUUGGAAAAGGUUUAUUAGUUCAAAUCUCAUAGCCGAUAACAAUUCAAUAAAAACCAAUAGAAACCUGAAACUUAAGGCCAAAGGUUCAUUAAUAAGAUCAUAAAUGCAAAACUAAAUAUUUCAUAAAUUGGAGAUUUUUUUCGGUGUUACUCGAAACACUGCCGUAGUGUUACAAUUCGACUCAAACUAUAACAUGUGUAAUAAUAUACUUUAAAAGUGAGAUAUAUCAACCAUGCUGCCUUCACUUAUAACACGUGAAAAAGUACAAUGCACAGCAGUGUUUUACAUACAUAGGAAAGUUCUCCAAUGAGUCAAUAACAAUCACCCUAAUCUAUUACAACUUGAGCUAGAGUUGAUGUACACAAAUCUAACUAACUUUGAGUUUUUAGAAUUUAUUGUAAUGUUAAUCUUGAGCAUCUAAUUCAUUGAAGGCGGGACAAGAAAAUAAUUCAAAUUAAGUUAUGUCAUAUACAUUCUUAAUUAAGAGUACGAAGCCAAUGCAAAAGUUAAUCUAUAAUGUAAUGUCGUCCAGUUUCAAGCACACAGCUAUGGAAUCCUCAUUUGUCCCGACUUUGGUUCAAGAAGCCAAUAUACCUCUAAUUUAUAUUCAACUUAAUUCUCAAUGUGUAAUUUGAGUAAUUUCCUGGAUUAGGACGCGUGAUCCAACAAUAUCAAGGUUUCACUAAAAUUAAAAAAAAAAACGACUGCAAAUGAUUAGACUAUAUUAAUAUAUAACAUGUUGCAUUAUGCUACAUAUAUUAUUAAUUAUUCCACGCAGGCAACCGCAAAUAGAAGGCACCACUUGUAAAUUAGGAGAACAUAUAUAGCAUGAGUAUUGUGGAGCCAAAAAUAUUCACAAGGCGACACGUGGAUUUUUAGAUAAAAGAAGAUAAAAAUAUCCUUGAGGCAUACCGGGAUUCCUACGCACGAGCAGCGGGCAAUCAUCCGUUAACCAAGUCAAAAAUGCCCAAAGAAGGUAACAAAUAAAAGUUAUUUCAUCCAUAUACUCCACAAGGUAACCAUUCCAAAUAUUCCAUUUAAAUUAGAUUAAUUGGUGAGUUAAUGGAUUUAUUUCCUAAUUAAUCCAUUAAAUCACCAAUUAAAUGACCCAUUAUGCCAAUUAAUCCCCCAUUACAUAACCCAUUACCCAAAAAAUCCCAAAUGGCUGGCCACCCUAGUUGAUCUCAUCAUAUUCACCUAUUUUAUCGCAUUAGUUAGCUAGUUAAUUUGGCAAUAAUUUUAUUUGCUAAAUUAAUUAGUCAAUUAUUCCCAUAACUCCUAAAUUUAACCUAAAUCAAGAACCCUAUCCCUAUAAAUAGGCUCUCAUUCUCACCAAAAACCUAAUUCCAACACUUUGGCAAAAAUCCCAAAAUUCUCUAAACACUCUUUCUCUCUAAAUUCUAACUUUGGCAUCGGAGGUUCUUCAGCCAAAGCCCCCCCAUUCAUCAUGGGCGCGUGAGGCUCUUGGCCUUAACCUAAGGUGUUGAUUGUUUUGUAGGUGCAAAAUUGUCCAAGAUCAAGGAGGAAGAAAUUUGCAUCCACAGGUAUAUUGUUAUGAUGACGUUCUAAAAGGGUGAUUCUUAGCCAACAUAGUUUUCUGCUUUGUGAGGGUCGGGAAGAAAUGUCUAUUGUACGCAAUUUUACCCUUGCUUUGUAAAGAAAUUGUUUCCACGACUCAAACCCGUGACCUUUUGGUUACAAAUGAGCAACAUUUAUAUUGCACUAAAGCUCACCUCAUUCAAUAAAAUAAAAUUAUGUAGUUUUAACUCACAUAUCCUUUUUUUCAUAAGGAAAACUAAUGAAAAGAACUUGAAAACUUUGAAUUUUAACGAUAAGGACAAAAUAAAUGAUAAAGUGAAUAGUAUCAUGAUUGAUUUUUUAGUGUAAAAAUGUGAUUUUUCGUUAAAAUGAACCGUAUCGGGAGCUUUUCGUUAAAGUUCCCUUUUUCAUAAGCACAAGAUACCGUGAAAGUGUAUUCGUGGUAGUCGUUCUCAUGAAUUAGCCUUCUUUUAUUGGCAGCACCCUUUUUUGAUUAUUCCCUCUCUCAACUUUCGUCUCUCUUGUAGUUGAAACAUAGAUAUACAUAUGAAGAGAAACAUCUUCUCAAUCAACGCAGACCAAGUUCAUUUGCCCCCCCCCCCUCUCUCUCUCUCUCUCUCUCUCUCUCUCUAAACUGUUAUUUGCAUAAGGAAAAAUAUGGUAUACUAUCAGAGAUACAAGCAGAGGAAAAAAAGGUGAACAUCUUACAGAAGAAGAUGAAGAGUGUCAGAGCAUUAUUAUGGGGUCUUCAAACUCUGGUUACUACAAAAGAACAAGGCCCAAGCUUCUCUCUUUCGUCUUUCUCUCUCUCCUCUCUUGCAGCUUCAUAAUUAGCACCUCAUCUUUUCUACCCUAAUGCCACUUUCUCUCUAUUACGUAAGCUUUUAUCUCUAGUUUCUCAUUUUCAUUUUUUCAUUUUUCUUUCAGUUUCCUUUAAUUGUAUGCUGAGAUUAUAUAAUAACCCUAUGUAAACCCUAGCUUGUACCCAGAUUAUAUAGAACCCCAUGCAUAAACCCUAGCUUAUAUAGUACCCAGUUGGGUCUCUUCACCUAUAUGCACUUGAUUUUAGUUGGAUGUUCUAACUCUUUCAUGGUAUGAGAACCAAGCUAACCACGUAUCAAACCAUCAGUUUAUUAGAAUACAUGAAGUGUCCUUAUCCCCUCUCCCCGUCUUCAAGUACCCUUUUUCGAUACAUGGUAUAGUCAUUGAAAAUCAAAUGAUUUUCGGAUUAUUCAACUCCGUUUGUGUUGUCCACGUUAUUGGCUUGAAGAUCACCACACGUUAGGGAACGUGUUAAGAAUGAAUCUCACAUUAAUGAGAGAAUGUGAGCUUAUAAGUAAGUUGGGUUACUCCUCAUAUUGUCAAUUGAUUUUGUGAUGAAACCUCAAAUUGCUUCAACCCUUCGUCUUUCAAAACAUUCACAAUAUUUUUGAGUUAUCUCACAUAGUGAAAAGUAAGCCAUGCACAAUAAUAUAGAUAGACUCUAUAUCUAUUGCUGUUUGAUUUUAAGUUGAAUGCUCUAAUUUUUUUUUUCCACUAUAUUCACGAAUAAAUAUGUACCCUUUGGUUUUGUAGGCCUUGCUGCUGACGAUAUGGUUGCAUAUGCUCCCUCGAGUUCUUCAAUCUCUAACGGUAGAAUUCUCUGCUUCUCAGUGGCUUCUAUUUGGAAUCGAUUAAUUGUUUGUGUUUUAGUUGUUAAUAAAUACCUUGCAAAGUUUACCAGACAGUAUUACUAUCGAUUAAUUGGUUUGAAAAAAAUCGUUUGCAUCAGAAGGCUGGUUAUAAGGCUUAGAAGGUAAGAAAAUUAGAAAAUUGUUAGCAUAAACAAGUCUUGAACUGAUCAUGACUUGCGAGUAACUUUAAACUACACUCCACCUAUGAAGCAUAUACUCUAUAUAGUACUAGCAGACAACAAAUAAAUAGCUGAAAUUUCAGGAUGGGCACUAGCCUAUUCUGGCCUUCAUGUAGCUCCUCCCCCGGUUGCGAUGAUACUCGAAUUGAUACUGCAAAAACAAUAAAAUACGGAACUAUUAUUGUUAUUUAAAAAAUAUUAUUCUACAUUAAUUUUUUCUUGUAUAUUUUUUCCUUAUGUUUUCAUAGAUGACGAGUGCAAGACAAUAUUUUUUUACUGAUAACAACUCCUAGUAAAACAACGUAAAAAUAUAACAUAAAAACAAUAUUGAUAAUAUUCCUGAAAUUCAAAAUUAGUUUUUAAUCUGUUCUAGUCUUUUCAACAAGCAAGCUGGGUCUGCUAUCUCUCUUUCCUUAUGGAACUCAUACGGGGUGAGUGGUCAAUUCGAACCCAGACCCUACGUUCUAAUUAUUCUAAUUAAUUUAGUUAAUAUAUAGUUAAUUCAGCUCCAGUUGAACCGCCACAAUUUUAUAUCGUCCAUGGAUCAUCAGGUUGAAGUCAAAUGAAUGGAGCCUGCAAGUUAAGCAUGUAAGAUGUAAUCUGAAAAUCAACAAGUUACUAGGAUCACAAAUAUAACAAAUAUAACUACAAUAAACCAAUCAAACAAUUAAAGGGAAAUAAACUUAUCUUCCAAAGCGGAGGAAGAAGAAGCUAUGACUGCUAGGGUUUCAAGGAGGAACUAGGUUCAAGAAUACAGCAGGACACGUAAAGCAGCAAGCCGUGGCACUGCGUGUGCAAUCCGACUUCUCCAUCUUCUUCAACUGUCACAUGGAACCAUACCAAGACACCCCUCUACACACAACCUUCUCCUCUCUGCAAAACUCAAUGCUCUCCAAGUUAUAGGUAAUUGGAACGAUAAGAGCGCACAACCUUCUCCUCUCUGCAAAACUCAAUGCUCUCCAAGUUAUAGGUAAUUGGAACGAUAAGAGCGCCCUUUUGUGAGAGCAGGGGCUUGUGGUUUUUAUACUACAAAAUCUGGAUUACCCUAUAAUAAUCCUACAAGGAAUACAAGACCAAAUCCUUGUACAAGUAUGAGUUCUAUUCUCAAGCCAACAGUAGAGUUUCAAUCCAAACCAAAGUUGAAUUAACUCUUAUAAACACAUUAAGACCUCUUUAUACCAAUCUGAAAUAACAAUGAUUAUUACUAAACUGUGAGAAUCACACUCAUACUCUAACAAAGCAUGCUUGCUUGUUGAACCCCGCAACCACUUAAAAAUUUGUGAUAAAUAUGAUUUAUGUAUUCCUAAUUUUCUAAGUUUUGAUAGACCUAAAGCCAAAUCUAAUUUUUACGUCACUUAUUAUAACUGUAGUCUAAUGGUAUAUUUUUCUACUUGUUAUAAGUAGAAAGAUUUUAGGUUCGAUCCUAAACUAACACUAAAUUAUUAUAGAUGACCCAGUUGUAUGGCCUCACCCAAAUAUCCAAAGUUUUAGUGUAAAUAAUAUCAAUGUUUUAAAAGUUAAUUGAGUACACUUAUUUUCUGUAUGUGACACUUUUACAUUUUCUCUAUCUGCAAUUACUUUCACUAACUAUAAAUGUUGUGGGUGCAGGAACUAUAUUUUGUGACAGGAGCAGUUUUCGAUCAGAUGUUUGUAUCCUGAAAGGGGAUGUAAGAACACACUCCGGUUCCUCUUCCAUCUUUGUCUACAGAUCCAGAGAUAAAAGUAAUUUCACAAAUUAUUUAUCGAGUAUCGUCGAGGAAAACGAAGAGGAAAAUGAGGAACAGCUUCACCGCGAAAAGAUCAAACCGUAUACCCGGAAAUGGGAACCAAGUAUCAUGGACACCGUCACAGAAUAAGACCUCAUUGCAAAGACAGAUGGCACUCCAGGAAAGCAACAUGAGUGUGAUGUCCAACGUGAGGUUCCGGCCGUAUUCUUCUCGACGGCGGGCUAUACCGGUAAUGUUUAUCAUGAAUUCAACGAUGGUAUUAUGCCGCUGUACAGUACUUCUCAGCAUUUGAGGAAACAGGUUGUGUUUGUCAUCGUUAAUUUUCACAAUUGGUGGCUUAUGAAAUAUGGAGACAUUCUUUCACAACUAUCAGACUAUCCAGUAAUUGAUUUCAGUGCAGACAAGAGAACUCAUUGCUUUCCCGAAGCUACUGUCGGUCUGCAAAUUCACGAUGAGCUCACUGUGGAUUCUUCAAAUAUGGAAGGAAAUAAGAGCAUAUUCGACUUUCGAAAUCUUCUAGACGGGGCUUACAGUCCUCGAGUUACAAGUCUGAUUCACGAACGAGAAGCAAAAGAGAAACUCUCCGUUUCUAUGUCUCCCGCAUCGAAAAGAUCCUUAAAAAUCAAGAGAAAAGUACAUGAAGCACAUCAACUCAAGAGGCCUAGACUAGUGAUCAUAUCUAGAAAUGGAUCAAGAGCGAUAACCAAUGAGCAUUUGCUGGUGAAAAUGGCUGAAAAAUGGGGUUUGAAGUUGAAGUUCUGAGACCUAAUUCGAGGACCGAGUUGGCAAAGAUUUAUUGCGUUCUUAAUUCGAGUGAUGUCGUGAUCGGGGUUCACGGUGCUGCCAUUAGACCUGGCAUUUUGGACCCGACCCGACCCGACCCGUUAAUAUUAGUAUUUGGAUGGAUGCUUAACAGGUCGGGUCGCUAACGGGUGAACCCGUUAACAACCAGUUAAAUAACGGGUCACUUUGGGUCAACCCGGUAGCACCCGUUAGUUGAGGAUGCUUUAGUAAUUUUAGUAAAGUCUUAACAACAACAAAUAAACUUUAUGCAAAAAAAAAUAAUAAUAUUUGUUAACGGGUUGUUAACGGGUGUUAACGGGUGACCCGUUAGCUUAACGGGUCGAGUUCGGUUGACCCGUUAACUUAAUGGGUCGGGUUGAACCCAACUCAAACCCAAUAAACUCUACCCGUUUACAGGUCUAGCUGCCAUGACACAUUUGUAGAAACUCUAUGUUCUUGUAAGAGAGAGAGAGAAGAGAAGAGAGAGAGAGAGGUUUCUUAAGAAUUAAGAAAUCUAUGACUUUUCAUUAAUUGAACAAAUGAAUAAUACAAUUAAAUAUAUAUAGUCCUUGUGACUAUCUACAUUUGGCUAUCUAAACUAACCAAAUAAACCAACUAAUUACAUGAGUAACAAACUUAUAACAAACAACUUUAGCUAUGAUAUAGCAUCUUCAUCUUUACACCCCCUCAAGCUAAACUUGGAAGAAUCAAUAAGUCCAAGUGAGAGCUUGGAUUGCAGAAACUGAAACUUGUUUUUAGACAAGGCUUUGGUAUGAAUAUUUGCAAGUUGAUCCUGACUGCACACAUACUUAACUUCAACCAGAUUUGCAAGUACUAACUCACGAAUAUAAUGAUAAUCAAUCUCUACAUGCUUAGUGUGAGCAUGAAAUACAGGAUUAGAUGCAAGAGAUAUAGCAGAGAUAUUAUCACACCAGAGAGUAGGUUUGUGAGAUAGAGGAAAACCAAAGUCUUUGAGCACCUUGCAGAUCCAAGUAACCUCUGCAGCAGUGUGAGCUAAGGAUCUGUAUUCAGCUUCAGUAGAGGAACGUGCGACUGUUGAUUGUUUCUUGGCACUCCAGCUAACUAAGUUGGUGCCCAGGAAAACACAUGAACCACUAGUGGAUCGUCAGUCAUAAGAGCAACCAGCCCAAUCGGCAUCAGAGUAGGCUGACAGAUGCAGGGAGUUUUCUUAAACAAUAAACCAUGAGUGAUAGUCACUUUGAGAAACCUCAAUAUACGUUUGGCUACUUGCAUGUGAAGAACAGUAGGUGCAUGCAUAAAUUGACAGAUUUGGUUUACUGCAAAAGAAAUACCAGGUCUUAUCCAAGUUAAGUAUUGGAGAGCACCAACAAUCGAUCUGUAUUCAGUAGGAUUGGCAAGUAACUCCCCACUAUGAUCUAAUUUGGUAGAACUAAGAGGAGUGGAACAUGGUUUGCACCAGCCAUAUUUGUUUUCUGUAACAAAUCAAUCAAAUACUUGCUUUGAUGAAGAAGCGUAGCAUCUUCGGUGCGAUGAACUUCCAGACCAAGGAAGUAAUGCAAGGAGCCUAGAUCUUUGACAGGAAAUAAAGUGCUCAACUGUGCUAUGAACUGAUUGCAAAUAGUAGCAUCAGGACCACUAACUAGAAUAUCAUCAACGUAGACAAGCACAAUAACCAGAGUUGGAGCAUGAAGAACAAAUAAAGAAGCAUCAGAAGAUGAUUGACUAAAUCCAAGAGAUUAAAGAGCUUGAAAUAAUUUGUCAAACCAAGCUCUAGGAGCUUGUUUAAGUCCAUAGAGAGAUUUUUUGAGCUUACACACAUGAGUAGGUUUGCUGGGAUCUUGAAAACCAGAAGGUUGAACCAUAAACACAUCCUCUUUUAAGUCACCAUGCAGAAAGGCAUUGCUAAUGUCCAGUUGAUGGAGAAACCAAUUAAAUUGGAUAGCAAAAGAUAACAAAAGUCUGAUAGUAACUGGCUUUGCAACCGGACUAAAUGUUUCUGUAUAGUCAAGACCUUCCUGUUGGUGAAAUCCCUUAGCAACAAGUCUUGCUUUAUAUCUCUCAAUGGAUCCAUCAGGAUGCUUUUUAAUUCUAAAGACCCACUUGCAGCCAACUACAUUUUAAGAUGGUGAAGAAGGAACAAGUGUCCAAGUGUCAGUAGAUAAACGAGCAUUGAAUUCAUUUUGCAUUGCCAUUCUCCAAUUUUCAGACUUAGAAGCUUGAAGAUAAGUAUUUGGAAUGUAAUCAGUGGAGGAAGGGAGAGGAUGUUUGGUAGUAGUUAAUGCUUUGGGUUUAUGAAUCCAUUUUUGGAUCAAGUAACCAUGGAAUGAACAUUAGAAACAGAAGGAUGCACAGGUUGAUGGGGAGGGAUAGGUUAUUGUGGAGAGACAGGUUGAUGUGUAGGGACAGGUUGUUGUGUAGGUACAGGGUGAUGGGUAGACAUGAUAGGAGAAGAAGGCAUAGGUGGAAGAGAUAUAGAUGGUUGUGAAGAAGAUGAGAGGGAUGCUGAGAGAGGCACAGGUGUAGUGGGGUUAGAGAUAGGCAUUGAAAAAUGAAGAUUAAUAGAUGAAGGAGCACACUGAUCAAUAGAGGAUUGAACUGGAGUAACAUCCUUAAAAGGAAAAGUAACCUCAUCAAAUAUAACAUGCCUAGAAACAUAAAUCCGAUUGGUUUCCAAAUCCAAACACCUAUAACCUUUAUGUUGUAAACUGUAACCCAAGAAGACAUAUCUCUUACUUUUCCCAUCAAGCUUAGAAGAAAUGUAGGGCUUUAACCAUGGAUAACAACUACACCCAAAAACCUUAAGUUUGGAAUAAUCUGGAUACUUGUUAAACACCAACUCCCAUGGUGAUUUAGGAUUUCCUGAUAUAGGCAGCCUAUUUAUAAGAUAAAGGGCAGUAGUGAAAGCUUCAACCCAAUAGGAAUGAGGAACACUAGAUUCAACCAAUAAAGUCCAAGUUGUCUCAACAAGAUGCCUAUGUUUCCUCUCCACACAACCAUUUUGUUCUGGUGUGUGGGGACAACUAAGUUAUUGAACAAUACCAUGAGCAUGUAGAAAAGAUUUAAAUUGUAAACUGGUAAAUUCACCCCCAGAAUCUGAACGAAGAAUCUUGAUUUUAUUACCAACAGUAUUCUCAACAUAAGCUUUGAAGGUUACAAAAGUAGAAUACACCUCUGAUUUAGUCUUUAAAGGAAAACACCAAUUGUAUUUGCUAAAUUCAUCAACUAGGAGAAAAUAAUAUCGAAAACCACUCACUGAAGUUACAGGAGCUGGUCCCCAUAGAUCACAAUGUAAGAGCUCAAGAGGCUGAAAGGUGGUUGUAGUUGAUGAACUAAAGGGUAGUUUAUGAUUUUUAGCAAUAGCACACUUGGAGCAAAAGAAGUCAACAGAGGUUGUACCUUUAAUAGCAAGCUUAUUACUAGAGAUUAUUUUGCGAAAGAUAGAUGAGGAAGGGUGUCCUAGCCGACUGUGCCAUAGUUUGACUGAACCUUGAGCACUGACAAGAGCAUAAGUGCAUCCAGAAGAUUGAGCAGUGGAAGAACAGUUUUGCAUAGGGUAAAAGCCAUCUUUAACUGGACCCUACAAAAACGUCUUCCCCGUAGUACGAUCCUUUACAACAGAGCCAUCAGAAUCAAGUGUUAAGGCACAAUAGUUAUCUUUGAGAAAUUGGUAUGCAGAUAACAGAUUAUGCUUUAUUUGAGGGACAUGAAGCACAUUACGCAAAUGAAAUUGAGCAUUAGGAGAAUGCAAAGAAGAAGAGCCAAUAUGAUGUAUAGAGAGACUUUUACCAUCACCGACAUAAACCUUGUCCUCGCCAGUAUACGGUGUUGGUGAAGAGAUGUUGGCAAUAUCAUUAGUGAUGUGAGAUGUGGCGCCAGAAUCUAGUAGCCAAGAUGGAGAAGGUUUGGAGGAGUAGUGUGCACACAUGGCUGCAAGUUUUGCAGGAGGAAUCUUCCCAGAGAUGUCAGGAUUCAUGCGAUCGAAGCAAUCAAUAGCUUCAUGACUAGUAGAUCCACAAAUUUGACAAGAAACAUGAGUACUGCCGAAUGAAGAGUUGCGAACACCUUGGUGAUGACCACGAUUGGAAGAUUGACCUCUAUAAUUGCCUCUGUGUCCACGAUUGUUGUUGUACCGACCAUGAUUAUGAGAGUGAUUACCUCUAUAGAUGUUCCUUCCACGAUAAGAGUUGAAUCGAAAGGAUUGGUGAGGUUGAGCAACAUAUGCUUAAGGCGGUAGAGUUGGAAGAAGAGGCGGUUGAGACUGAACAGAGAACGCCUGAAAGGACUCAGUAGUGGAGGAAUAGAGCUUCUUGCGACGAGACAUUGAAAGCUCUUUGGUGAGAAGAAGACCAUGUAACUCAUCCAGAGACGUGGAAGAGAGACGUAACAUCACAGAAUCAAUGAAGGAUUCGAAUUCAUCAGGUAAGCCAGCAAGAGUAGCCGCAAUAAGAUCGCGAUCAGAAAUAAGUGCACCAGCAGCAGAAAGAGAAUCAGAGAUUUCUUUGAGUUGUUGAAGAUAAUCCGUCAUAGAUUGAGUACCUUUUUGAAUUACUUGAAGGCGAGAUCAUAGUUGAUGGAUGUGAGCAUCGGAGACGCCACCAAACCGUUGUUCAAGCUUGAUCCAAAGAUCGCGAGCAGAAGAGACACCAACAGUAAAAGGAAUAACAUCUUCCGAAAGUGUAGAAUUCAACCAAAUCAACAGAUUCUAAUCCUUUUCAUACUAGAUCUCAAAAGCUGGAUUAAUCGAUCGAUCGAGAAGGAAUGACGGUGGACACGGCUCAGUACCUUCAAUAAUUCCAAGAAGUUUGUAGCGCCUGAGAAUCGAUGCAAACAAAGCACGCCAUGGAAGAUAGUUAGAUCUCUUGAGCUUAAUUGGCACCAUGCUUCCAAUAUUCUGAAUUGUGAUAGAAGCAUACGAAUUGGACACGUUAGGGUUUGUAGAAGAAUUGGGGGCAGAAUGCUGGAGAGAUUCAUGAGAUGCAAAAUCGGACGGAGAUGCCAUGGUAAUCAAAAACAAGAAUUACAAGAAAAGAUCAGCGAGAAUCAGAGAAACAAAGCGGAAGAAAGGAUCGAAUUGGCCUUGAGGCAGAAGGUGAAAGAUACCAUAUAAAAACUAUGUGUUCUUGUAAGAGAGAGAGAGAGAGAAGAGAAGAGAAGAGAGAAAGAGAGAGAGGUUUCUUAAGAAUUAAGAAAUCUGUGACUUUUCAUUAAUUGAACAAAUGAAUAAUACAAUUACAUAUAUAUAGUCCUUGUGACUAUUUACAUUUGGCUAUCUAAACUAACCAAAUAAACCAAACUAAUUACAUGAGUAACAAACAUAUAACAAACAACUUUAGCUAUGAUAUAGCAUCUUCAUCUUUAACAUUUUCUGUUCAUGAGACCUGGCUCUGUGUUGAUCCAAGUUAUUCCUCUUGGAACUAGUUGGGCAGCAGAGGAAUACUAUGGGAAACCUGCAAGAAAGCUUGGGUUAAACUACGUCGGCUACAAAAUUCUUACCACAGAAAACUCGUUACACAACAAGUAUGGUAAAGAUGAUCAUGUUCUUAAAAAUCCAGCUAGUGUAACAAAAAAAAGAUGGGAAUACACAAAGGAGAUUUACCUUGAAGGUCAAACUGUGAGACUACACCUCACAAGAUUUAAGAAGCAGCUGCUUCGUGCUUAUAACUGCGCCAUUGGAAGAACGACUCGGCAUUUCGAACAACAAUAAACUAGUCAUUCUGGAAGUUGUAGAUUCAUACAUGCUUGAUAAAAAUUUGUGAACAUGUAUAUAACGUCGAGAUUUAGCUUAGUAGUAUGUACACCUCAUCAAUUAGGCUAGCUUACUUAUUAAGUUUUGGCAGCUACUAUAAAUAUAAUUCAUCAAUUCUCAAUAUAAUGAAAAAGUCAACUUCUUCUUCAAGCUGUUUUUUCUCUAUGUUCCAUAUUUUCUGAGUUCUCCAUUUUCACGAGUUCUACAUUUUCCUGAUUUCUGUAAUCUUCGAUUUCCAUGAUUCUUCCAUAGCUAUCAUGGUAUCAGAGCUUAGGUUCGGUGAAUCUAAGAGAAGGAUCCUGGAUUGGCUCAUCAAGCGAUGGAAGUAGUCGUUGCGUAGAGAUUUGUAGCUGUUUUUGGUUCGCGAUUUUUCGUCGGAGAUCUAUCUUCGUUGAAUCAGGUUCUGAAUUUCGUUCUUCGGUGUAUCUGUGUGAUCAAUUCUGCGUGAAAUUUCUGGAGUUCUUAGUUUGUUUUCUGGAUAUGUUGAUUGUAGAAGAUUGCGAUGAUGAACUUUUAGGGCAUGAAGCCUGAAAUUUUUUUUUAGGGCACGAAGCUCGUUGUUAUGUUCAAUGCGUGUGAAGAUUAAUGUCUGUGUGGUGAAUUCCGAAGAAAUUUGUAUGCAUAUUCUAGAUUGUUGAUAUAUAAGCUUCUGUGGAGUAUUUUUCUGGUCAUUUUGGCACGAAGCCAGCUGAAAUUGUUUCUUUGAGUACAAAACUCUUUGAGGAAUUGAAUUCAUUUGUUCAUUUGUGAUUCGGUCAGUUGGUGAUUUGACAAAUCUUGGUGCAUAAUCUUGGUGUAUUGAUAUAAUCUUGGUGUAUUGGUGAUCUGGUGAUGAAUGCUAUAAAGAUGGACAGUCUACUGGGCAUGUUAACUAUCCGAUUACAAGAUGACAAUUUUGUGAAGUGGUCCUUUCAAUUUACAGAAGAAUCUAACCACAUUGACUUUUUCUGGAUCUACAAUGUAUUGUCAGGGUGAAUCUUCUAAUACUACUCACAAUUCUCCAGAGUCUUCUCAAUAUUUCAAUGGUGGUUUUGGCUUUGUUAGCGGCAGCAACACUAACUCUCAGGCUCGUGGAUCAAGACCAACUGGAGGAUUUGUGUCACAAGCCAAUUUGCCUCAGUUUCAAGGGAAUGGAACUUUUCAGCAUCAAAGGAAUUAUCAUAACAAUGGUGCUAACAAUGGCAGGUUCAAUAACAGACCAAGGUUUAAUAAUGGAUCUUCUGGAAGAUUUUCUGAGAAUUCUAAUUACUUCUCUGGUAGCUCCAGUAAUAAUGGAGGAUCUAAUUUUGGGGCUAAGGGAGGAUCUACUUGGCAGAAUUGGAAUGGUAAUAAUGGAUCAAAGAGCGCUUUGAUUCCUGAAUGCCAAAUUUGCAACAAAAGAGGCCACACUGCCCCAAAUUGUUACUCUUGAUAUGAUACAAGUUCCAGCACUGUUUCUCAAGUUCCCGAGUGUCAAAUAUGUGGGAAGAAAAGGCACACUGCUCUUAAUUGCUAUCACAGGGGGAAUUAUGCAUAUCAAGGAACACCACCACCUCCUUCUAUCUCUGCUCUUACGACACAAGCUCAAUCAAAUUUUGAUGGUUCUUCACAACAAAAUUAGGUGCUAGACAUAUGGGCUACACAUCAUAUGACCGCUGAUUUGGACAAUUUGACUUUGGUGGCUCCUUUUGAAAGAAAUGAGAGGAUUACAGUGGGCAAUGGCGAAGGGCUUCCUAAUGUCAACACUGGUUUGGGUUCCAUCUUCACUCCUUUUAAAGCUUUAACUUUACACAUGGUUCUACAUGUUCCAAAAUUGGCUGCUAGUCUAUUGUCUGUUUAUAGACUCUGUAAAGAUAACAACUAUUAUGUUAUUUUUUAUGAGUUUGGUUUUUGGGUGCAGGACAAGGCAACAAAGAAAGUUCUCUUGAGAGGAAUGAGUAGUUGUAGUGGCUUGUAUUACAUUCCUCAACAACAAUUCUUCAAGUAUUUUCAGCUCCUAGAUACUACACCACAGGCUGUCUUGGGUCAACUUGUGAAGUCUUCUAUAUGGCAUCAUAGACUUGGUCAUCCAACAAAUGAAGUGCAGUAAAAAAUGCUUAAGGAAUCUUCUAUUUCUGUGUCUAUAGACAAUAAUCCUCAGAUGUGUUCAGUUUGUAUAAAGGGUAAAAUGUCUAGACAACCAUUUCCUUUAAGUACUAAUAAGUCUCGUAUUCCAUUUGAAAAAGUGCAUACCAAUGUAUGGGGACCUUCACCCACUAUAUCCGUUGAAGGUUACAGAUAUUAUGUCAUUUUUUUAGAUGAAUGCACAAGGUUUACUUGGCUUUUCCCUCUUGUGAAUAAGUCUGAUGUGUAUGCAGUAUUUGUUAAAUUUCAUGCUCUCGUUGUGAAUCAUUUUAAGACUACAAUAAAGUUUUUACAAUCAGAUGGAGGAUGAGAGUUUAUGAGUGGAUUGUUUAAGAAAUUUUUGGAGUUACAUGGCAUUUUACAUCUUGUUUCAUGUCCAUAUACACCCCGGAAAAAUGGGUUAACAGAGAGGAAGAAUAGACAUAUUAUUGAAACUGCUAUAACUUUAUUUGGUGCUGCAUUCUUACCUCAAUCAGUCUCCAUCUUUUGUCAAGUUGUUUGGACAGUCUCCAUCUUUAACAACUCUCAAGGUCUUUGGUACAGCCGUAUACCCUUAUUUAAGACCUUAUAGUGACAAUAAGUUGCAGGCAAGGAGUGAUGAAUGUGUCUUUCUGGGAUAUUCAUUGAUUGGGCUAUAAAGGAGUAUUGUGUUAUAACAGGAAUACAAAGAGGUUGUUGAUGUCUAGACAUGUAAUCCAUGAUGAAAGUGUAUUCCCUUUUCAAUCAGUUUGCCUUCCAAACAUGAGUUCUUCUCUUAUUCAUGCAUCUUCCCAGAAAUUAUCAUCUAUGAUUGUACUUGUUGUGUUACCAAGAUCUUCAAAUGUGUCUGAGGAACAGUUUCAAGAUACUAAUUAGAGUAGUCAGACUAUGCAAGCAAUAAGUCCCUCUGAUAGCUCGAGUCAAGAAUCAACACAAGCCACUACUCAAGUCACUACUCUAGAUCCUACUUCAUCUCACUUGUUGCCUGUCCAUGCUAGUUCCCAAACUAAGGUACCACACUCUUUUACUGAAUCAUUACCACUGCAUGAUAUAUAUGCUGAGCAGUCUAUUGACGUUGAAACAUCUAAUCCCUUAGAGGUUGAUCAUGACAUAUUACCUCCUGUUAUUCCUAGUACUUCUAUACAUGGUAUGAUUACUAGGUUAAAGAGUGGUGCAAUACAAAGAAAAGAUUAUGCAGCCUAUCAUGUUCCUGUGACAAAUGAAGACUUGUGUCCUAAAUCACAUAAUGAUGAUAUAAUGUUCAGUGGCUUUACUGUUGUUCUAGAUAUACAUGAUUCUUCUGAGCUUGUUGAUUAUAAACAAGCAGUAAUGUCUGAAUGUUGGAGAAAUGCAAUGACUGAAGAAUUUAAUGCUCUUCAAAAACAAGGGACUUCGGAGUUAGUACCAUAUCCGGAAGACAGAAAUGUAGUAGGCAGUAAGUGAGUUUAUAAGAUAAAGAAAGAUCAAGAAGGGAAGGUGUCUAGAUAUAAAGCUAGACUGGUUGCACAGGGGUAUAGUCAAGAACAAGGGUUGGAUUAUGAAGAAACUUUUAGUCCAGUUGUUAGGCAUACCACAGUAAGACUUGUUUUAUCACUUGCAGUAACUUACAAAUGGGAAUUGAGACAAUUAGAUGUUAAAAAUGCAUUUUUGCAUGGAGAAUUGCAAGAAUAGGUUUUUAUGAAACAACCUCAAGGUUUUCAAGAUCCCAGAUAUCCCAAUCAUGUUUGAAAACUUCUUAAGUCUUUGUAUGGUCUGAAACAGGUUCCAAGAGCCUGGAAUGCAAAAUUCACAAGUUAUCUUCCAGCCUUACAAUUUCAAUCUUCUCAUUCAGAUCCAAGUUUAUUUGUCAAAGUCAAUGGGAGUGAUGUGGUGAUUCUUCUACUAUAUGUAGAUGACAUUAUACUUACUGGUUCAUGUUCCCAGCUAGUGCAGCAUGUGAUUGAUGAUUGGUCCUCUGUGUUUGAUAUGAAAGAUAUGGGGACACUCACUUAUUUCCUUGGGCUGCAAGUUAGUUACAAAGACAAUGGAGAUAUUUUUAUUAAUCAGUCAAAGUAUGUGACUGAUCUUCUCAAUAAGGCAGGAAUGUUGUCUUGUAGAUCGUGUUCUACUCGUAGUAAACCUCAUAUACAGUUGUUGAAUGAUGAAAGAGUACCAUUGGCAGAUCCUACAAUGUACAGAAGUUUGGUUGGAGCUUUGCAAUAUCUAACCUUUACUAGGCCAGACAUUGCAUAUGUUGUCAACUAUGCAUGUCAGUUCAUGAACACACCCACUGAGUUUCAUUUUUGUUUGGUAAAACGAAUAUUGAGAUAUUUGAAAGGUACAAUACAGUGUGGAAUCACAUACUCUGCUACUAAGAAAUUAGAAUUGUUUGCAUUUAGUGAUGCUGACUGGGCAGCUGAUAUAAACACUCGAAGGUCCACCACUGGCUAUGUUGUCUUUUUGGGGUCGAAUCCAGUUUCAUGGCAAUCAAAAAAGCAAGGAAGUGUGUCUAGAAGUUCAACCAAGGCUGAGUAUAAAGCAUUGGCUAAUGUUGUAGCUAAUGUUGCUUGGAUAAGAUUGGUUCUUAAAGAUCUUCACUUAUUUCUUUCUUCACCACAUGUCUUGCAUUGUGAUAAUCUGUCCACUCUAGCUUUGUGUUCUAAUCCAGUCUUUCAUACUCGGAUUAAACACUUAGACACAGAUUUUCAUUUUCUUCGUGAAAGAGCGCAGAAAAGAGAUUUGGAGGUUCAAUAUAUUUCCACAGAAGCUCAGGUUGCAUAUGUUCUAACUAAAGGGUUACACAACCCUCUAUUUGUUCAUCAUUGUUCCAAUCUCAGACUGGGAUAUCCCAGCUGAGAUUGAGGGGAAGUAAUAACAGAAUGUAAACCUCUGCAAUUAAGUUAGCUUAGUAUGUACACCUCAGCAAUUAGGCUAGCUUACUUAUUAAGUUUUGACAGCUACUAUAAAUAUGUGUAUAACUGUUUGUAAUUCAUCAAUUCUCAAUAAAAUGAAAAAGUCAACUUCUUCAAGCUGUUUUUUCUCUUUGUUCCAUAUUUUUUGAGUUCUCCAUUUUCACGAGUUCUACAUUUUCCUGAUUUCUGUAAUCUUCGAUUUCCAUGAUUUUUCCAUAGUUAUCGUACAGCUACUAGUGGUUGUUUCUUUUGUCAUAAAAAUUUCUCCGAUGCUGGUUGUUUCUUUGGAUUAACGCCCUCAGUAUAUGAUCGACUAAAAUAUUUAUGUUCGUCCAUAUCCCCUGAACGAUCCACUCUCUAUCAGAUGACGACCUCCCAGGUCCUGAUGACCUAAAUAUCCACUGGAUUUUUAGGAUUAAAUUUAUUUUGAUCCACCUCCACUGUCACUGACGUCUUCAUAUCUUUCAGUCCUGCUUCGCCACACUGAUCGUAAACUGCUCUUUCCUGAGAUCACACAAGAACUGAAUUCGGGAAUACGUUUCAUUCUUUUAUUUUUCACGCAGCACACACGUUAAUGUACAAAAUCAGUGAAACUUUGGAACAACGUAAAAUAUGUUAAGUGCUUGGACAUUUGAAAAAGCAUAGACACUAUUCCAAAAACAAUUUAAUAUACUUCUGUUCUUAAGUCUUGGUUAUGAGAAUUGACAGAAUUGACAAAUAUCCUUUUCUCCCUUCUAAUUAUUAAGGCGCAUUUGGAUAAGGGUGAACUUGGAUUUGGAGUUGGGUUUGGUAUUUUGACUAUGUGAGCAACAUUUCCAAGAUUGACAUUGACAGAAUGUAAGUGAAUAGACUUGCUCAACAUAAGAAGGCGCAGCUAGUAUUGGAUAAUGUGAGCACGUUGAUUUUUUGAAGAUUUAGAAAUGUGGGUUGUUCUAGAAGAUGGGGAAGACGAACCUGUCAACCUAAAUUUUUCAUUUUUUGGAGGAAAAAAAACUGAAAUCAAACCAAAACCGAACCAAAAAAAAAAACCAAACCGAGAAAAAAUUGAAAAAAAUUGAUUCGGUUCAGUUUCGAUUUUGGUGAAAAACCGAACCGUUGAGAACCGAACCCAGCCCUACUCUCCCUUAUCUCUCCAUUUCGAGCUCACCUCUCUCUCAGGCUCUUUCCCGAUCGACACCCAUACAUACAAAAGCACACACAUACACACCCAAGGAGACUUCGACAACGGCACUACCCUCCGAUCCCACUCUCUCCUUCUCACCACGGUGCAGACAUUCCCCGACGAGUUUUCAUCGUUUUUUAUGAAAGUAGGUCGAAACACCCUUCCAUCUUUCUCUCUAGUAGUCUAGAAGGAUUCAUGGUUGCUAAAAUAUGAUUUUGGUGAAGGUUUGGACAUGAAAACACGUCGGGGAGACUUCCCCAGAUUUCCGGGGAGGAACCUGUCACUUUCGAGGCAAUUUUCGGCCAAACCACUAUGAUUUGGCUAGCCUGCAAGGUAUAAAUCUCUUCGUCUAGCUGAGUACUACAACUUUCCUUUUUGUUUCACCCAAUUUCAUUGAGUAUUGAAGAAGUUAUACUCAUUUGAAUCUUACCCAGUUUUCGGCGACCUCCGUGGCUUUUAAGGGGUUUUCCGGCCAAACCACAGCGAGUUAAACGUCGUGCGAGGUACCAUUCUCUUCGUCUCUUUGAGAACUACGAUUUUCGUCUUGAAUCACUCAAUUUCGUGGAGUAUUGACAAAGUUAUAGAUGUUUAAAUUAGCCCAGUUUUCCGACGAAAAACCUCAAAUUCCAAUGUUCUUCUACGGUUAGCUCUGGCGUCUCCCUCUUGGCGAUAGGCCUUUCAGGCCACCUCAAAGACCAUAGGGCCUUAGGAAAUAGGUCUAAGCUUAAGAAUAGUUAAGAACUGAUAAUAAAAUUUGACGAGGCCAAAAACAUUUCGAGAUUCACAAUACUUUGUGAGAGCUAUUUCAAAGUUCAAAAAUUAAACAUAGAACCUCUGAAUCAAUAGAAUGAUGAAGAAGAAAGAUAUGAAGCAGCUUGCUUAUGCAUGAAGCGACAUGAUUGGCUACCUUAAAGUGAUGCCUUUGAGGAAACCAAAGCUUAAUGAGUCUAGAGAAGUUCAGAGCAAAGCUCGAUCUUUGUACAAUGAUGAAUAUGGUGGAAUCUCAAGCCAUUACACUGAAAAAUUACAAGGCUGAACAGUUAAUGGACAAGAACAUUGAUCAAUUGGGCUACAAGUUAUGGGCUAAGUUCACCUGUACCAAAAAGUAUGUGGACAAGGAGCUAGGAUUUACCACCACGUACCAGGCCCAGAUGAAGUUCAAGGAGUCUGUUUAUCCAAACAAGACUGGAUCUUCAUCAUCUAAGUCCAACUACAACAACAACAAGAAUCGCAACUCCUUUUGAAAAAUAAUGAGAAUAGAGUCUGCUACCAAGGAGUUCCCAAGAAAAGUAUAAUCUCUAGACAAAGUCAACGCUUGAAGGAUUUGGUGUAAAGCUGACGGUCAAAAGUUAAGGAACUUGACUUCGUUGUUGGGGUAAGCAAGAUGGUUAUCGAUAGAAUAAUCGUCAAGAAUUGUUCUAAAGAUCCACACGAAUUUCUUCAGUGGUAAUGAGUUUGAGAACAUUGAUUUGAUCCCACCAAUUACCACAUACUAACUUCGUCACAACUAGCGCUUACUCGCUUCCUCCAACACUCACUUUGAAAGUUUCAAGAAGUUGUCAUUAAGAUAUGACUCUACCUGGUAUUCCUAGGGAACGCAUGUUGCAGAGUGAUAUCACCGUUUCAUAUUUCUAAUUGGUCUUAACCAACACACACCACUAAGAUUUUUCCAUUUCCCAAGAUUUCGAUGUAGAGCCGACUCCGCCCGCAAUUCCUAGGGAACGCAUGUUGCAGAGUGGCAUCACCAUUUCGGAUCUACAGUUGGUCUUGACCAGACUUCCUCAAACAAAGAUUUCUAAACACGUCGCUUCCAAGUAACACCAAAUCUGCCCGCCAUUCCCAGGGAAUGCACGCCGCAGAGUAUUGAUCCGAUGUUGAAAGUCGUCCAACAAAUCAAACACGUCACCGAUGAGGCACAAUCCCGACACAAGAUUUCUUAUUUCAACCCGAAUGUGACAAUUCAAACAGAGAAAGGUUUGCACAACUGCGCCGAAUGGCACCAAUUUCGGAAGUCAGGACAUCCAAAUGACGUCAAAACCGACACACUGCUACAGUAACAGAAAGUCCUAAGUAUACUCUAAACAAACCACGCUCUGAUACCAAUCUGACAUGGCCCGAUCCUGAUAUUCCUCGAAUAACAGGAUAAACGCGUGCUGGCCGACACCCGAGGGUGACGAAAGCCAUUUAUUGAGUGCAAAUGCUGAAAACAAGGGAUAGAUAAGACUUAUAAAUAUAAAAGUAUAAAGAAUAUGCAUUUAAGGAAUGUGUUCAGAGCAUACAACUAACUAGAACACUAAAAGAAAUAAUAUAAAAUUGAAUGAAACAAAUGAUGGAUCCUACACCGAGAGGACUCGAAAAUGCCGAUGCGGAAGUGCCCUGACGCCGGGAUUGUAUGUCUCGAUUCUAAGUCCUGAAGGGGCCACAAAACAAACAUGAGUGGACCAAGUUGAUAUAUAUAUAUAAUAAAACAAUUAUCAACGUACUAAUCCCCAGGUUUUAUGAAGAAAAAAACAUAUAUAUCAUGAUAAACAUAAGUUUUCCAAAACCUAGCAUGUUGUGCAAUGUCUCAAAUUAUAACUUGUAUAUAUAAUAAUCACUAGUGAAUGUCCAAAUAUAACCCCCAAGCCCCAUGCUGGCUCCCCGUCUCUGAGCAGACAGUCAGAGAAAAAUACACUACAAGCCCCAUGCCGGCUCCCCGUCCCUGUGCUAAAUAGCUAGAGGAAACACACUCCAGGCCCUAUGCCAACCACAAAUUGUCGUCCGGGAUGGACUGGAAUCUAUCCCUACGUCCCGUAGCGGAAUAAGGACCACUAGGUAAGUACAAAACCAUUGAACAUAUAUAUAUUGAAAAGCAACUUCAUAGUAUAAAGUCAUCUAUCAUCUAUACAAUAAAGAGGUGUUCGAAACAUGUUCUAAAUAUCAUAUCGUCAUCCAUCUAUUCUAUAAGAACACGAGUUAUAGGAAAAAUAGUAGUAAUUCAAACUAGCCUCAGUAAGCAUGUUAUCUCAAAGCAUUUCAUAAAACAUAAUUGUUAAAUCAUGCUUUUCAUGUGUGCAUUUCUACUAUCAAAGCAUGCAUUUUUAGAAUGAGUCCACUCACAGAUACUUCGCCGUUGAAGAGCCACACAAACUAGCGAAGACAAAAACGCCACUAUAAUUGCCCCUAAUCACAUAAAUGGUACAUUUAGUCAAACUCUACUCAAACGAUUGAAUUUGGGAAAAUGGACUUCAAAAACGGGUCCAGGACGUCGAAAUUAGCUUAGGAGAGGUCUCGAACGAAAACCCGAAAAGUCAACGUUAACCGUUGACCGGGACGGUCAACGGGUCACGGGUCCAUCGGGUCGGGUCAGUCAAACCCGGUUUAGGGUUUUGGGUUAGGAAUUGGGUUGGGCUUAGAUUUAGGAUAGGUUGGGUUUUAGGGUAAAAAGGCUUAAGGGAUUUGGGCUUUCAAAAAACAGGCCUCAAGCCUUAACUAAAUGGCCCAAGGGCCUUAAACUUAAAACAAUUAAAAAUAAAACAAAAUAAAUAAGAAAACAAAAAUGGGUUUGGGUUGGGCUCGACAGGAAAGGCCCAAAGGCCUGGUGUGGUUACUGCUUGCCGAAGCUAAACGGAAGGGAAGGCCGAAUUUCGGCCAUAAAACUACACAAACUUUAAACGGCCAUAACUUUGUCCAAACUCAACGAAAUCAAGUGAAACAAAAAUGAAAGUUGUGUUUCUCGAAGAGACAAAGAGAAUGGUACUCGCAAAACAUCUAAAUCACCGUGGUUUGGCCGAAAAACGCCUCGAAAGCCACCGGACUCGCCAAAAACUUGGUAAGAUUCAAAUGACUAUAACUUCUUCAAUACUCAACGAAAUUGGGUGAAACAAAAAGGAAAGUUGUAGUACUCAGAGAGAAAAAGAGAUUUAUACCUUGAACGCUGGCCAAAUCUCCGUGUUUUUGCCGUAAAUUGCCUCGAAAGGGGCGGUCUGUGUCAGAGUUCGUGUACGGGGCCUCAUGGUUCGACUUCGACGACGCCAUGCCUUUGGUUGUGUUCGUAGGGACGAGAUGAAGACAAUGGUGAUGUCAAAAUUGUGAUUUGAUGAUGAUUUUAGGAUAUGGGUUAUGGGUGUGGCGCGGUGAAGGAGAAGAAGAGAAAGGGAGUAUGGGAAAAAGAGAGGAGAAGAGAUAGAGAAAGAAGAGGGCUGAGAGAGUUAUAAAAAUCAGAAAAAGAAAGAAAAGGGGAAGGGAACCGGGGGACAAGGAUCACAUGUGGCCCCUUAGGCACACCAAUUAAGACCAAAAACCAUUUUUAAAAGGAAAACUAUCCACAAACUUAGUGAAAAUUCAAAAAUACCAUUUUUGUUCCAUAAAUCCUGGGACGGUGGUUACAAUCGAGACAUACAAUCCCGGCGUCAAGGCACUUCCUCAUCGACAUCUUCGAGUCCUCUCGGUGUAGGACGCAUAUCCUUUUAUUCAUUCAAUUUUAUAUUAUUUCUUUUAGUAUUCUAGUUAGUUGUAUGCUCUGAACAUGUUCCUUAAAUGCAUAUUCUUUAUUCUUUUAUAUUUAUAAAUCUUAUAUAUCCCUUGUUUUCAGUAAGUGCACUCAAUAAAUGGCUUUCGUCACCUUCGGGUGUCGGCCAGUAUGUGCUUAUCCUGGUAUUCAGGGAAUAUCGGGAUCGGGGCGUGUCAAAAACACUUUGAAAGUUGGCUGAUUGGUGAAUAUAUUGUGUGAUGGUUAGAUAUUCAACCUAUGCUUAUAUAGAGGAUGAUUGAAGGUUUGCGUUUCAUGUGUGUAGGUUUGUAUUUUAUGCGUUUCAUGUGUUUUGUAUGUAUUUGGUAUGUGUUUUGUGUGUGUCAUGUGUUUCACAUGUUUGGUGUGUUAUACAUCUUUAUCAUGUGUUUUGUAUGUGCUUCAUAUGUAUUAUGUGUGUCUUUUGUGUUUACACAUCUCUAUCAUGAUUUUCAUAUUCUUCCAUAGUGUUUCAUGAAUUUCAUGUAUUGAUUUAGUGAUUUUUCAAUAUUUAUCCGAAUUUAAAUAUUUUUAAGUUAAAAUGUUCAUAAAAUUAAUUUAAGAUAAUCUACAUAUUUUUUUUAAAGUUAAUUUAAAAAAAAAAUAGCCUAAAUUCAUUCUUUAAUAAUUUGAGGUUAAAAUUUUAGGAUAAAAGGGUUGGAGCAGAAAAUAUGUUCUAGGUUAAAACCUAAAUUUUCUGAGGUAAAAAUUUUAGGUUUUACUCCAAGGGUUGGAGAUGGUUCAAGUGCACAGGUCGUUGGUGGCCUGCACUUAUUGUAACAGAAGAAAGUUAAGAAACCAUCUGGUAAUGAUAUAUGAUGAAAUAACCAUCACUCAUUACUACCACAUAAAUUAAUAACAUUACGAGACGGUGCGUGCAGAGAAGGUGCGCAAAGACACAAAAAGUUUUCGUAGAUGGCUAAGCUGAUGUUAUGAACCUAGAGUAUAUUAUUAACAAAUAAAUACAUGUGCUAUAAUAUGAGUGAAUUUAUAACACUCGUAAUCAAGUUCAUAAAGUAGUAAAAAGUUAGAGCUCAUUUGGAAGUGCCUUUAAAAUGAUUGAAAACACUUUUAGAGAAAAUGUUUGGGGUUCCAAAAGCAACUAAAGUGCUUCCUGGAAGAAGCACUGGUUAUGUGCUUCUUCCAGAAAGCACUUCAAGUACUUUUUCACGAUUCACUUGCGUUUUUACCAAGAAUUGAUUUCAAAAACAUUUACACCAAAACUUUUUCAAUCAAUUUAAAAGCACUUUCAAACGAGAUAUUAAUGACAUCCACAUCUCUUUUGCAAUUAAAGAAAGUGGGCUUUUGCAAUGGAUCAGUUUCAUUUCAUAGAAAAGUCACUUUGCCCAAGAACACAUAACCCAACCCAAACCCUAAAUUUACUUGCAGGCUAGCCCAACCUAUAAAGGCCUAAAUAGUGGCUUACAACUAGCUACACCGACGCGGGCUAUGGUUGCGGCUGAGCUCACUAGAUUCCGCACCAGUCAGUGCUCCAAAAGAAAAAUUCGAACCAGAAUUCAAGGUUGUAUUGUUCGACCUUAAUACCAGUUGAAGGGUUUUCUUUGCUUGCUCUUGAAGAUCUUAGAUUUCUUCAUCCUCCAUUUCCAGAAUGUUCAAGAAGUAAGCUUUAUAUAUAUUGUCAAUAUAUUGUACGUAUAGGUGUUUAUUUUUAAAUAUAUGUUAUUUGUUUGCUUAGUUUUUUUUUUUUUUUUUUAUCAUUGAGGCAUAUGAUUUCUGGGUUUGGUUUAAUUCGAUGAAAAAUUAAACAGCGUUUCAAUUUUGUUUUCAUUUGUGUUUUCUGAUUAUAUACUUUUAUGGGUUUUAAUUUUGGAUUUAUGCCCUGAAGUUUAUAUGUUAUUUUGUGUAAUUGGAAGUAUAAAUUUGAAUACUUGGAGCUAACGGACGGAAAAUCAAGCGCAGUGGCGUUCUAGGAUUCAUACAGCCGACUCAUAAGGCGUUGUUGUUGUUGUGGAAGUAUAAAUUGGAAUUGUGCCAUUGCUUCUCUGUGGUUUAAGCAACCGUUCUAAAGCUUGAUCCUUCUCAGCAAAGUUGGUUUUGUGCUGUAUGUGGGAUGUUUUGAUGUUAAAAUGAAGCUUGAAAGGUCACUUCUUUUUGGUUUUUAUGGAAGAUGAGGUUAAUUAUUUGGGGAGGAUGGUUAGGGUUCUCAAAUAUUUGUUUUUGUGUGGGAGCGGUUUGGAGUAGCAAAUUUUUGUUUUGUGUUGCAAUAGAUGCGUAAGGGGAAUAUUUCGUAAUAUGAUUGCAUAAUACGUGUGUAAUGUUGUAGGUUUUCUACUGAAGAGGUGUCUGCACAAAAUCAAGUUAAGGCAUCUGUCCAGCGCAAAAUUCGGCAGAGUAUUGCAGAUGAGGUAAGAUGAUUAGGUUCAUAGGAAUUUCACGGAUGCUUUAAGAUACGCUUUACAUAUGUCUGUAACACAAAGUUAACUUCAACUGCAGUACCCGGGACUCGAACAGGUGUUGGAAGAUUUGAUCCCAAAGAAAUCUCCUCUUAUUGUGGCUAAAUGGUUUGUCGCUCUGUUGGUCCUGCUUCUGUGUUUUACUUAUUGACUCAGCUAUUUGUUUCAUGCUGCCUUAUCUCCAUGUAUCUAACAUUGUCUUCCACAUGCUCGACUUUUGCAGUCAGAACCAUCUAAAUCUGGUGGUGGUAAACAACGUGCCACUAUUUUUCAACAUUCGUGAUGGACCGUAUAUGCCUACCCUAAGACUUCUUCAUCAAUGUAAAAGUUUCUUUACCGCCAAAAUGCCUUAUCUCAAUAAGUCUGGUCUAUGAACCAGUUAUGCAAUCCUUGAUUUGCUUCUUCUUUUGAGUGGAUUAUUUUAUUUUUCUCAAAUAAAAAGCUACAUAGUUGGUGAAUUUUCCUUCCAAAUAGUUGUAACUGAGAAAGCUCGGGGUUUCUUACGGGUUUUACAGAUCCAGACAUAAUGAAAAAGUUGCAAGUAGAUAGGGGCGCCAUAAGGUUUGUUCUCUCUGGUGCAAACAUAAUGUGUCCAGGUCUAACUUCUCCCGGUGGUUCUUUGGAUGAUGAAGUGGGUGCAGAAACUCCCGUGGUAGGAGUUUUAUGUCUCUUUUUUUCUUUGUAUUAAUGUAAUGUCAUACUCAUGUUAGAACCUUUUUUUUUUGUUCAAAUGUUAGGUUGAGUUGAUUUAAAUAAUUGUCUUGUCACGAGACGGAAAUGUUGAAGUUCAGUUUGUUUUGUAUGUCUCUGAUUUGUAAAACUGAUUACGCUCAGGCAAUAAUGGCAGAAGGAAAACAACAUGCUCUUGCUAUUGGCUUCACAAAAAUGUCAGCAAAAGAAAUGUAAGUUAUUUUCUUAUUCGAAGGACAUUAUCGUUGCUUCUCCUAGAGUAAUGCCUUGGGUACCCUUAGAAUAUUGAGGACAAGAUAUAUAAUACGAGAGCCUAACUUGCAUUACCGACCUCAAAUCUAGCUUAGUUAUCUGUUGCUGAUUGUCGUAUUUACAAAGUUGAGUCUUCCCCUUGGUUUGCAGAAGAGAUAUCAACAAGGGAAUCGGAGUUGACAACAUGCAUUAUCUUAACGAUGGUCUUUGGAAGGUACGUCAGUGUCUACUUUGUAUUUAUGGCCAUUGCCAGUGUUUUAACUAGUGUUUCGUUGUUAAAUCUUUCGCCUUGCUAUGCAGAUGGAACAUCUAGAUUGAAGAUACUCAAGACUAUCCGUGGUAUCAUCAACAAGAAAUGAAGAACACAUGUUAGUUUCAUCGAUGUGGUCUUGACUUUACUGUUUUUCGGAGUGUUAGGUCCGAGCUUUACAAGUCACGAGUAUACCCUAACCGUAUUUACAUGUUUUGUAUUUGUACGUGGAGUGAUCAUCUUUAUCAAAUUCAUCGUAAGAUGGUCAUAUCCAUUUUGUGAUACAAUUUAGAGGUAUUUUUCUUAUAUGAUGUAAGAGGUGAAUUCCCAACUCCCAAGCAUAUGUUUUGACAUCUUUUCCAGUGAACUAUAUGUCUUUGCGAAGAUAAAUGAACGAAAUUAUGAUUUCCUCUUAGACAGCUGCGUAAUCUUUGAAAUUUCAUCGUGAUGUUGGUCUUCAACGAGGAAUUCCUAGUAAGCGCGAGUCAUCAGCUCGUGUUGACUACGUUCCUGCCCUUUGUACACACCACCCCUCGUACCGAUUGAAUGGUCCGGAAAAGUGUUCGGAUCGCGGCGACGAUCGAUUGCUUGAGAAGAAUGCAAGUGAGGAAAUGCUAAAACUAGCACAUUUCGGUGCUCGCAGAAUAGCAAAGGGGCAACAAACUUUUUAAAACUAAACGUUUUCCGUACUAGAAAUACAUCUUUUACUUGUUUUUCCUACUUCUCGAACUAUCAGGAGAUUUCUGGCUGAUCUUGGCUUCAAAUUUCCUGAUUCGUAGAGCGGCUACAUUGUGGCUCUGGCUACGUCUUUAUCGUUUGCUGCAUAUUGACAUGAACAAAGAAAAGAUCAACAGCGAAGCGAAAAACGAUCCAAGUUAGCAACACUGCAAAAUCUCAUUAUGGCAAUCGAAAUGUGGCGGCAGAAGAAGGGCAUACCUUACAGACAAUAGGCCGGCUGUAAGAACCAAUCCUCCGACGGCCCAAGAAACUCGUUCACUAAAUGGCAUGUCCCUCCACCUCUGCUGGAAUUCAGCCUCAAGCUCUCAGCUUUCUGGAGCACCUCAGAAGGUGAAGCCUUCCAUGAAUCAGCAAUCAAGUCAAGACUGGCUUUACCAACAACAACAACAACAACAAAGCCUUUUCCCACUAAGUGGGGUCGGCUCAAGACUGGCUUUACCGCAGUAGCAAAAUGCUUCUUCGUUGCUCACGGAUGCAUCAUCUUUAACAGCAAAUCCUGCCGCAUGGCAGAACUCUGUGCCAUUAAGAAUCCAUUCCGAGGCCCUGCCGCAAACAUAAUCACUUACUCCACAUGGUGCUAGAACCUGGAAGAAGGUAAUUAAUCAGAAAAUGCAAUUCCCUAAUGCACCCAAAAGAGAUCAGUUUAAUCACCUAUUUAUUUGGUUAUGUCAAAUUAUAAGUCGGUAAAAAAAAUUCCUCGACUGGAAGUUAAAGGUCUCCCACAUACCUGUGUUAUUGCAUCUGUCGAGUAGUAAGCCUCAGCACAAGCCUCAAAAACCCUGUCACAGAAAGAGGCACAUAUAGCUGGAGGUCCUGACUGCACGCCAAUGCAGGGAUCACAGAUGGAACAUUCCAGUAAUUCCCACAAAUGCAAGCACUCUGGGCCAGCUUCCCCUGAUGAAGCCAACUUCCUAACGGAUACCAGUGCAGGCUGUGUCUGGGCUACAUCACAGCAAGUUUUUUGCGGAACACUCUGCAAAGGGUCAGAUCUUUGGGUCCCUUACUCAGAUGUUUUGGAGGUUUUCCCUCGGAAGACAAUGGUGGGAAACGACCGCCUUGAGAAAUGCAUACACUGUCAGGUUUACCUACAACUAAAACAGAUGUAGAUAACGUUUAAUGACCAACUAGCGUACAUGCAAAAAUCAUUUGAAAACCAUGUAAAAACUUCUUUACAUAGGAAUUGAAUUUCUCCAAAAUAAUUUGUUAACUUAAGACUCUUGAAGAUGAUUGCCACUGCGAAACGGAAAAGCCUAAAGUAUUGCCCCACAAGAAAUGCAAUUACGUUCUUGCUUGGGAUUCUUGGGAAGAACCAGAAUUUCUUCUGGUUGCCUUUAAGUUAAAGAGAUAAACCAUGCUUACAUGCAUAAAUCAGAUUACAAGAGCAACACCGAUACGAGGCCAAAUCCAGAAAGCAGAUGCCAUUCUGCUGAUUUAAGGAAACAACAAGCAGAUUGCGUCCAAUUUCCACACCGCUAUGAAAAAUGAACAAUGACCAUGCACUCGUAAGAUGUGAUAAGGCAGUCGGGGCACGCCAAAGACACCUUAUGUCAGCUUCAAAAAAAGAGCAAGCCCCUUCAUGGCUUGUCAACCAGAGACAUAAUUAACAUAGACCUCCACACAAGAUUCUAAAAGACGCUAGCUGUUAGUUGAACGGCAAGCUGGGGCCUAGCACCUAGGUGGCUAGGCGGGCCUAGACGGGCGCCUAGAUGAACAAGACGGAUUUAAGUAAAUCUAUUAUAUUUCGUGUAAAUAAGCGUCUGUUUAUACUUAAAAAAUAUAUAAUUUCAUUAUAAACUACAAAAUAGAAUGACAUAUAUAUUAGGAAGUAUUGGAACAUAAUGAAAACAUGGGGAACAAGCAUAUAAUGGGUAUUCGUUUAAGUAUUCAACAAGUAUCUUACAAUUUAUUAAAAAAAUAAAAUACAAAAUGAAAGUUAUCUAUUUUUUAACCAAAUAAGUCACAACUUAGACAGGUGCCUAGGUGGUCUAGGUGGUCUAGGCGGACGCCUCAACAGGUCUAGACGCUCUUUCUUAAUUUUCAAAGGCUUAAACAUUAAUCAAGGUAGUGACCAACCGCCUAGCACCUAGGUGGGGAUUUUUGGAACAGUGCCUCCACGUCAAACUGAUUCUAGCCUACCUCAACUUCCCUCAACCGAAUAUGUUACAUCCGCAAUGCGGAACUAUAGCUCAUACAAACCUUAUGUUUUGGCACACUGGAGACAGAAGUCUAACCUAGUGUGAGAAAAUGGAAAUCUCACUGUUGCAAUUCUCAUGUCAGAGCAGAUAUCCAGUGAUGUCUGCAUACAGUAGACUGAAACUGUACCGAUCAAGUGCAAAAAGAUGGGACUUUCUGAAUCCUAUCUGGAUUUUUUUUUUUUUUUUUUGAACAUCUAUCUGGAUUUUGACUAAUUCUACAAUCCAAAAAAUAAAAUAAAAAUACAAAUCCAUGAUGUCAUUGUUCUCCUAAAAAACUGAUCGUUUUCGAUGGCUGCAAAGUUGGGACACUACGAAAUCGACUCCAAAACUGUUCGCUGAUUAAUUUCAACACAAAGGUCCCGAAAAUCAAACAAUUAGGAUCUGAAAACAAACAAGAAAAAUGAUAUUAUAUAUAUAUAUAUAUAUAUAUAUAUAUAUAUAUAUAUCUGUGUGUGUGUAUUUAUGUACGUAUUUACCAGUUAAAGAGGGGACGAGUGUAUUGAGAAGGAGCAGCAGGAUCAGAGACGCGCAACCCAUUUUUCAUCACUCGGUGGUUUCUUAGUUCUCAAAAAUUUUAAUUUUAAUUGAAAAAUGACAAAUAAAGUUGUAAGUGAAUAGUACAAAAAAAGAUAAAAAUAUGGUUUUUCAUAAAAAAAAAAUAAAUGGUACCAAAAGUGUUUCGUUAAAACUCACAAACAAAAUCCGAUCCGGUGAGAACGGUGGCUGUGGUGGGUACCCGGUGACCCAAUGUACCACAGGUCUCAGGUCUGCGGUGAUGGACCCAAACUUCUAACUGGGUCGGAAGGGAAACAUGGACUCAGGUUGGAGGCCCAUAUAUGUUGCCCUUUCGUUUCUAUACUUAUUUUUACAUAUUUCUAUAAACAUCCACAUAAAUUUCUAAUAUUUCUAAUUUAUUCCUGCUUAAAAUAGAGAAAUAAAAAUUGGCACCAUUCCAAACCCUUUCUGUUUUUUGGUCAAGGAGGAAUUUUAUAACAAAGUCCAAACGGACGCAGUAGAAAGAUAACAGCUUCAUAAUUGAGGUAGGUACAAAUGAGACGUCACUUGUACAUUCAUCGCAUGAGUAAAGGUUCUCAAUUAUACCUAAAGCAUACAAAAAAAUUACAAGAGAUAUGGCUCGGCCCAAAAGCCGAAGUCCACCCGAAGAGGCCCAAAAGUGACCCCUCCGAAAAAAUCUAAUAACCCUAAAACGAGAAUCACCCACCGCCUCAACCGCCUCACCAUUCCAAACCCUUCUUGAUUCUUAUUCUCCUUCUUUCGCCUUCUCUUAAUUCUUCUCCAAACACAGAUUUGCCAUUGGGCUCCACUGCAUCUGGAAUUGACAGUGCACUGUGCACUGCAACAGUGGCUCAGAAAAGGACGACGCCGUUUCCCAAAUUCUCAGUCAAGCACCGCCUGAAAUCCUUAUGGCCCUAGAGCACCAAGAGGAGGUGGCGGACCCACAUACCAUGGGAUGGCUCUCGUAUGAGGGGUAUACUUAGGGAAUAAAUUUAAUUUAAAUAAUUGAAUAUGCAACGGAAAAAUAAUAAAUAACAUACAAUAUGUUAUUCCAAUAUGCUAAAAAUGUCUCUAUAAUCUUAUCAAAUAGUGCUAAUAGCAUUUUAACAACUACACAACACCAAAGUGCGUCGAAGUGAGGCACCUGAUGAGCCUAAAAACAGAGGUGGAUGGUUUAAGGGUUGCGAUGGAAAGCAAUAUUGGAGCAAAAAAGGGGCAUAAAAACCCAAAUUUUGAGACGAAAGGUCAAGAAAACCAAAAUACAAGGGGUCUAAGUAAAAUACAGAGAAGCUAAGGAGACAAAGGAGAAGGAAAAGUAGUUGGAAUUGGCCAGAGAAGGGGGUUGCCAUCGACCCCCACCCAAAGUAGGUGUUGGUGGCAUUGUCUUCAUGAUUCAGCGUGUCCGUGUUUGUCUUAUCCAUUUUGCUUUAAUGUCUUUGUGUUUUUUAAAACUUCCAUGUUAUGUAUCAUUGAGGGCUUCAAAAAGAAAAAUAAAGAACGGUUAGAUCUUUCAUGUUGCGUUCUAAUUAUCUUUGCAAUGAUUAAAUUUUUUAUAAAACUCCUACUUGAAUGGUAUGUACUAUUGCAGUCGAACUUUUAUUAGUAUUUAAUAUAACAGGAUAGUGUUAUUUACACAUCUGUUUUACCCACACGCAUUUGUUAAUUUUGAACCAUCAAAUUUCUUCAAUUCAUUCGAUUAGACGGUUGGAUAUUGACCUCUCGUUGAUUUCUGUUCUUUGAUAUUUUUCAAUUCAUCUUAUCAGACAUCCGAAAAUUAAAAAAAUGUGUGAAUAUCACACCCCUAAUAAAAAAUGGUGGAUAGCACUACCCUAAUAAGGUUAGUGGAGUGUCAACUUCAUCUCUCGUAUUUUUCCACUCUUCAAAGUGAAGAUAUAUGAAUCUCAUCAUAUAGAUAAGAUUCUGUUAUAAGCUUAUCGUCAUAUCAAUGCUAGGUUAGGUUAGCGGCAGCGGCAUGGUCCCUUUUGGCCCAUACGUCCGUACACAGCUCCGUUAACUUAUCACGGAUGGGCAUUAGGAUAAGUUCUACUAGAUACCAGAAUCCCAGAUGGAAAAUUUAUCUCGUGUUCUCUGUACAAGUUAUACUAACGAGAGCAUCUUUCAACAAUCCAGAUGGAUAAGCAAUAACGGAGUUGUACCAACGGAAAUUUCAAUCGACGUUAGAUUCAUAUCCAUGUUUCUGGCAUCAAGUUAGGGUCUCGGAAAAUAGGGUCCCCUCUGGCAAUGGCCGGAUCGACAUAGAGAUUCGGAUGAUACCAAUAACCUCCGACAGUCCGACUGCCCGAAAAAUACAUGCGAAGGUCUUUCGAGGACUAUCCAAAUGUAUGACACAGACUCAUUAAUAGUAUGAUGAAAUGCCUUCCAAAAAUAUCUUGACAACAUUUGGCUAGACAUGUCAACCAUGCCUAGCCUGAGAUCUCAACAGCACUCGACAAGUUUUUUUGGCUUUGUUAAUACAACGCAAUAACGAUCGGUCCACUAAAUGCUCGACAAAUUUUUACGUGUUACGCGCACAUUAGUUUCUUUUUGUGUGCAUAUUUUUUAAAAUUUUAUUUGUGUUUGUACCCAUGUGUAUGUCAUCAUGUAACAUUGUAUAUUUAAUCAAUGAUAGAAAAAUUACAUAUGGUAUAUUUAUGUUUUAUGCCUAACUUUUGUAUCAUAUAUUUAUAUUUUUAGUUUGUACCCACUUUUAAUUUGCAACAUUUUUUAAAAAAAUUUGUAGUAUUUUCUUUUUAAUUUUAUUUUGUACCCAUGUAUUAAUUUCUUUUAGUGCCUAUAUUUUUUAAGUACCAAUUUUUUUAACACUAUGAAUACAUUCUUUUGUCAUUUAUUAUUUCUUAUUUUUACAUAGUUUUUAUCCAUUUAUUCAAUUAAAAUGUUUGAAUUUUUUUAUUGUAACCGUUUCUAAUAGUAUUAUAACGAAGAAUUUAAAAUUUAUAGGAUAAUAAAUUUCAUAAAAUAUCAAACAAUUAAUAUCAAAACUAUAAAAAAUAUAAAUAUUAAUUGUAAUAUAAUGAGGUGUACAAAGUCAAUAAACUUUAAUUAAACUUUGAAUACCAUUAAAAUUUUAGUCAAAGAAUGUUAAGGAUUAAAAACCGCAUCCAAAAUAUCCCUUAAUUGUAUGACGAAAUGCCUUCCAAAAAUAUCUUGACAACAUAUCUUGACAACAUUUGGCUAGACGUAUCAACCAUGCCCACCCUGAGAUCUCUCGACAGCACUCUGACAAGUUUCUUUGGCUUUGUUAAUAUAAUUCAAUAACGAUCGGUCCACCAAAUGCUCGACAAAUUUUUGCGUAGCCGCGCACAUUAUUCAUCUAAAUAGAACCUGAAUGUUUUAGGCUGAAAUUCUUAAUCCUGAAUCCGCCAGCCAUACGUCCACACUUACAACUACGACGAAUAGCGCCCAUGGAUAAGAUAUCUUUCUACAAACGAGAAGUAUUGACACAAGCACCAGAUUAUAUAGAUCCAGUACCACAUCAUAAUACAUUACACAUGCACGAACUAAUAUGCAGUUUUAUUAUUCAAAAUACAACAGCAGGAACUUGUAAGGGAAAAUUAAACACUCUCUUUACAAAUAACAGCAGAGAUUAUGCAGAUUUAGCAACAUGGAAACCCUAGCAACUCGGAACGAACACACCCAAACCCUAGCAACAGCGGAGAUUCAACCACUAUACUUAUAUAGUCGCACAUGCACUAGAUUGAAACUCAGAACAAACAACACCCAAAACCCUACGUGGAAACCCUAGACAGUUUCUUUUUUCCUUCCAGCCAUGGCUAAACCGUCCACAGAAAACAUGUACAUCUCAUCGCAUGCCGUGAGGAGGGCUCACAUCUCAAAUCUCACGGAUGAUUUCGAUUGGACAAGAACUCAUAUGUCACACGUCGUAAGGAGAACGGGCGCUCCUAGCUCCAGGGACCUCGCUCGCCUUCUCGUAUGCAUCCGAUGCUGACCUUCUUCGAAACCGCCCGAAUGGCUCCCUGCCACCUAAAAACACAACACUCUCAACAUUUGCCUCAUAACACUGCUCGACUCGUUAAAGUCCACUUACUACUCUUUAAGAAUAUUAAAGACUGCUUAUCUCGUUGAGAAUUUUUUAUUGUGUCGGGAACACACCACACCAUCUAUUUUUAUAUAAGUGAUAGAAAUUUUUUUUUUUUUAAGUUAUUAACUUUUUAAUACAUAUAUCCUACUAUUUAUAUAAUGAGACGCGGUACCAACACGUGUGCGAAAAAUCUCUCCAACUCAUUAUAGUCCACACUUACUGCUUUUAAGAAGAUUAGGUCAGAUUUGAUACUAUUCUCAACAAGGGCAUAAAUGUCAAUUAACUAACAAACAUAAACAUCACAAUAUGAACAGCUGCAUGUACCUACACAAAAAUCCAUCCAAAUUCUAGAACAUUGAAAUUUGACUCCACAGCGUGUUAAAUUACUACUACACCCCUUGUCUCCCUGCACAUCCGUGAUGAGUGGAAGCCCCACCAAUACCAUUUGUGGAAACUAGGUCCUCCGUGCAGGGAGCCAGUGGCAUAUCUGACAUUUCAAAU